rnacentral:lncRNA from 1 species
CUGAAGGAAACAUAGCACAAUAUGCAACAGAUGGCAACAUAUGUAUUUUCCAACAAUGCCUGAGAACAACAACUAUAGGAUGGUUUUUGUCAUUUUUAUUUGAGUAAUACAUAUAUAUCACCAUAUCCCUUGAUAUUACUUAAGGUGUACAAUAUAUAUAGCUCCUUUAGUUAUUUUGGCCUCCUUGGAGUAGUGCUUCAUGUUGAUAUUCUCUGGAUCCAAGAUAACAAUAAAGAACCUUCACAUGAGUACCGGCUUCACAUAAAGCGAUGUUAACAUGUCUUUGAUUGUAUGGGAGACAGUGUACUUAUCAGCUUCCUUGUACAUGUAGUCUACAGUUCGUGCAAACUCUAGUACCGUUCGUGGGACAAUUAUCGGGUAUUCUUUUAGUGCAAGGCCUUGUUCAAUCAUGAACUUCCAUGAAUCUUCUGUAAGUUCUUUUAUCUGCUCACAUGCUUCAUCCAUUGUUAGUUCAUGCUGCUUCAUGUAACACUGAACAGUGGAGACACAAUGCUUCUCUCUUUGUUCACGCUGCAAUUAAAUGUGCAAAAUUAGUGAUUUUUUUAUUAAUAAUAUAGUUUGUUUGAAAUCCCAAACACUAUGAAUCUUAACAAAAAAUUAUGUUUAGGGUCAUGCUAUCUUCAUUGUUAUUCACUAGAAUUGUUGAACAAAAUCAUGGUUUUAGACAUUGCUGAGUAAAACAAGGUAUAGUGUGUCCAUGAAAUAAGAGUAGUCAAAGGAUAGAGAAAAACCUUGGUUGAUACAAUAUCAUUGGAGAGCCGUACAAAUAUACCAAAAGACUUAACAAGUUCAGCAUCACUCAUAACCCAUUCCAUGAUCUUCUUUGUUACUACAUCACCCAUUCCAACAAACGCGGAACAUAGCACCAGUGUACCUCCAAUGCUUAUGAGUGAAACUUUUAGGUGUUCUUUCAAUGUUUUGGGGACAUAAUCCUCAUCACGCCAUUUUAUUUCCUUGGUAUAUUCCCGAACUAAUUCCUUCACCUAUAUAUAGAGAGAAUAAAAACAUGUGAAGUCAUUGUACAAACAUAGAUGCUCAUGUUGUUGAUAAAUUAUAUCUACUGCUUAAAUUAUGAUUAUGUGACAACAACCACAAAUACUUUCCAACAUUGGUGUGGUGGUUGCACUUGGUAAUUUCCAUGUUAUAAGGAAUGGAUUGGUGUAUAUAUAUAUCAUUAGUAUAUUUUAACUACACAUAAGGUGUCUGAUAUAUAUAUAUAUAUCUAUAUGCAUGUGCUUGUUUACUCUUAUAAUAAUAAGGAAUAGCAUGUGACGAACCACUGUAUAUAGUAUUAUCCACUAAGUAGUCUUGUUAUGUUUGGCUUAAUAAUAAUCAACUUUAUCAAGGAAGAUAAAAAUAAAAACUUACCGCUUCUUUUAAGUAGAACACUCAGUAGCUCUUGUCUGGUCCUAACUCAUUCUCAAACGAUGAAAAUGUCUUCAACAAAUACAUGUAGAAAUCCUUCAUGUAUUCUGGGAGUAGUGAGAUUGCACUUUCAUCCCACCUGUAACUUACUAAGUCAGAAUAUAUACAGAUCACCUUCCCUCAGGAGUAUUUUAUAUUUAAUACAUCCAAAAAUUCAAAAAAAAUGGUCGAGGUAUUUUCCUAACAGCAUAACACAGAUAUACUUUCAUGCAUGUUGACAAAAUAUGUGAAUUAGUUACUUGAGUUUUUAUAGAGAGUUUCCAAUCUAGGAAAGAAAAAUGUAGCCGCUCGAGAAGAUUAUACAUACCUUUCGACUGCUUCUGCAAGUUGCAUACUUUCAUAAGAAUUAGCAAGUGAGUCAAGGGUAUCAUCUAGAAUCGUGAUGAAAGCAACAAUCUUUGUAAGUAUAAUUCGAGAAUGAGAAUAUUGAGGAUCAUAGCAUCCCCCACUCAUCCAAAAGUACACCUCUACUAUUCUAUCCCUCACAAAACUCAAGUUUGAUUCGACGCAGAGUUCUUUCCACCAGCUGCAAUGUCGUAGAGAAGAAAAAGCAAUAAUUAGCAUAGAUUUUAAAUAUGCACUUUCGUUUCUGAAAGGAGAAGUAAUAUAUAUAUAAACUUACGCUGUGCACUCUUUGAGCUCUGAUGAAUAAAGAAGUUGUAGAAGGUUGAAGUUCAGUUUCGCAAACUCUAAUAUUGAUUUGUUUUGUUUAGCGUCCUUUUCGUAGAUAGGAAUGUAAUCCUUCAUUUCCAAAGUUCCAACCCUUCUAAAAAGUGGGGUAUCAAGGGCAGACGACACUUCCUCUGCUAUUGGUGAUUCCAAAUGUUCUAAUCUAUCUUGAAGGCAUCUUGUAGUAAAAGAAAUUGCCUCAUCAAGCAUUGUCUCUCCAUGAAUCCUCAGGUAUGCUGCAUUGUAUAAGCUUAACAAGGUCCUAGUAUCUGCCUCAAUAAAAUUUCCAUAUUGGUCUUUGAAAUUUAGGAAUACAUCUACAUGCAUACACUACCGGAAUCCGCGCCUUUGCCGAGUGCUUUUUAUUGGGCACUCGGCAAAGCAGACUUUGCCGAGUACCGCCCUCGGCAAAGUUCUGCGCUCGGUAAAGAGCUGGUUUACCGAGUGUAGAACACUCGGCACAUCCAAGCACACAGGAAAGAGUGCUUUGCCGAGCGUCAAGCACUCGGCAAAUACGGCUCUCGGCAAAGGGCCGUUAGCGGCCGUCUACAACUGACGGCCGUCAGUCUUUGCCGAGUGUCAAAUAUCUGGCACUCGGCAAACAGUGUCUUUGCCGAGUGUCCUAUGUAGACACUCGGCAAAUCAUAUUUUUAUUUUUUUUAUUUUGGUCACCAAACUUUUUGUGGUAUGUUCCUACACUAUGUAGACCAACAUGUACCAUUUUGGGACAAUUAUAAAAGUGUUUUCUAUACCUAGUACAUUUAGUUUGUUUAUUUGAAUUUCUUCGGAAAAUUCAGAUUUGAACUGCAGGUUACUCGAAACUUGGAAAACCGUGCAUGCAAAAAUGAUAUCCAUGCUACUUAGCACAAGUUACGACCGAUUUCAGGAGCGGACCGGAAACUUCGAGCACCGUGCUCACUCAACAUGACCGUAAACUUGCCAUCCAGGUGUUUACAAAUUGUAUAAAACAUAAACAAAGUCAGAAAAUCAUGAAACAUGUCCACGUGUCAUGAUAUCAUAUGUAGAGGCUGUGAUAAAAAUUUGAAAAAGUUUCGAGAAAGCUGUAACGCACUAUGUGUACAAACCUAAGAGAUCCACAUUGAAACUCUAUGAUUUCAUGUGUGGUUCUCUUAGGUUUCUACACUUAAUGUCUCACAACUUUCUCCAAACAUUCUAAAUUUUUUAUCACAACCUCUACAUAUGAUAUCAUGACACGUGGACAGGUUUCAUGAUUUUCUGACUUUGUUUAUGUUUUAUACAAUUUUUAAACACCUGGAUGGCAAGUUUACGGUCAUGUUGAGUGAGCAUGGUGCUCGAAGUUUCCGGUCCGCUCCUGAAAUCGGUCGUAACUUGUGCUAAGUAGCAUGGAUAUCAUUUUUGCAUGCACGGUUUUCCAAGUUUCGAGUAACCUGCAGUUCAAAUCUGAAUUUUCCGAAGAAAUUCAAAUAAACAAACUAAAUGUACUAGGUAUAGAAAACACUGUUAUAAUUGUCCCAAAAUGGUACAUGUUGGUCUACAUAGUGUAGGAACAUACCACAAAAAGUUUGGUAGGGAAAAUAUAAAAAAUAAAAAAGUAAUUUGCCGAGUGUCCACAAAUGACACUCGGCAAAGGAUGGUUUGCCGAGUGCUAGCUGUACAGCACUCGGCAAAGGAUUGUAAAAGAUUCUUUGCCGAGUGUCAUCCAGCUGGCACUCGGCAAAGAACACUUUGCCGAGUGCCUGCGAUCUGGCACUCGGCAAAGAAUAUUUUAAUAUUUUUAAAAAAAUCUUUGCCGAGUGCCAGAUCGCGGACACUCGGCAAAGAACGUGUACAUAGCACCUGGUAACUUCUUCCUUUCUCACUCUCUCUCUCUCACUCCGUUGCCGUCUCCACGCCGCGCCCACGCGCCUCUCCACGCCGCCGGCCGCCGCGCCCCUGCCGCCGCAGCCCUGCCCCCACGCCGCCGGCCGCCGCGCCCGCGCACGCCGCCCCACGGCCGCCCUCGACCUCGGCCCCGACGCCGCCGCGUCCCACGGCAGCCCUCGACCUCGACGACGCCGCGCCUCCACAGUAAAAAUGAUAAAAAUGAUUUAUGUGAUGGAUUCUAGAAACACUAGGUGAAGCUUCACCCAACGACUGAUACUGAAAUAUCUUCGUUAGUAUAUAUGUUCUUGUAUUAUCAAAGCUUUUAUGUGCUCAAAACAUAUGCAUAUAAAUGCUUUGUCGCCUUCAACGGUAUUAUCAAAGCUUUUAUGUGCUCCUGGUAUACGUGUGAAUGUCAGCCAUCGUGCUGUUACUUUUAUUUGCAGGUUUUGGAAACCUCCCCGUGCAGGGGAGGUGCUGCCGAAUUUUUUUGUUGACAGACUUGUUUAUUUUUUUUGCAGAGGUCUUCCUAGCCGUUGCGGGUCUGCCUCGCGUCGCCACUGCACCGACGCGCCACAGCCCCACUAGGCUGACUCCACCGCCACACUAGGUAUAACCUCUACAUCCGCAUCAUGGUCGUAGAUCACGUAACCCUGUUAGGCGUCUCCCGUUCGAAAGAGAUACGGUGUAGAUAUGCAGAUCUUUGCAUAUCUACAAAUGUAUCAGUUUCGAAUUGUCCACGUUUUUUGGACAGCUUGCGGUUGCGUAGAUGGUGUUAGUUUCAUGCUCUACUCCAGUCCGAGAUAGAGUUUCGGCGUCACCUCCCUGUUGUUCUCCGGACAGUACACUCUCCCUGCCAGGACGUAUAUCCGGAGAACAGCGGGGAGGUGCUGCCGAAAUUCUAUCUCGGAUCGGAGUAGAGCAUGGAAACUAACUCCAUCUACGCAACCGCGGGUGGGAUUAGGACCUAUCAUCACCUAUUAGAAGGUAGGAACGUAGUGUACAUGCAUUACAUGUCUAUAUUAAACUAUACUCGGUUAUAUAUGUUAGAGGAUGGAGGACCGUGAGUGGAUGUACACGGGCCGCGUUCGACGUAAUGAUGUCACCCCAGAAUGGAUUAGGAAGACCGAUGCUUUCGUGGAACGGGCAUAUGGCGAAGCUGCUAAAGGAGCUAGCCUAGUCCCUUGUCCGUGCAGCAAAUGUGACAACUGGAAAAGAAAACCAAAGAAGGCCAUGGUAGAACAUAUUUGGAAGAAUGGAUUUACGCCGGACUAUACUCGGUGGAUCUUCCAUGGUGAAGCGCAUCACGCGAGAGAGGAGGUGGUGAGACAAUGCAUCGAGGAUUACGAUGCUGAUGCCGGGGUAGCAGACAUGUUGAACGACUAUCACGAGGCACAGUUCGCCGAAGGACGUACGGAGGACGAGCCAGAGGCGACCGCAAAGGCAUUCUACGACAUGUUUGACGCGGCACAGAAACCCCUUCACGGCAAGACAAAGGUUUCUCAACUGGAUGCCAUUGGGCGUAUAAUGGCGUUCAAGUCGCAGUAUAGCAUGAGUCGAGACGCCUUCGAUGGUUUGUUGACAAUUAUUGGCAUCCUGCUUCCGGAAGAUCACGUUCUGCCAAAGAGCAUGUACGAGGCACAGAAACUCCUUCGUGCACUCAAGAUGACGUAUGAGCAGAUACAUGCUUGUCCGAAGGGCUGUGUCCUAUUUAGGAAAGAACACACUGAGGCAAAGUAUUGUCCGAAGUGUAAAUCGUCUAGGUUCAUGGAGGUAGACUCUGGUGAUGGGCAGAAGAGGCAGCUCGACAUCCCCGUGACAAUCCUACGCCACCUUCCGUUCAUACCGAGGAUCCAGCGUCUAUACAUGAUAGAGGAAUCCGCGAAACAGAUGACAUGGCACAAAAAAGGCAAACGAUACAAUCCUGACAAGAUGGUUCACGCAUCCGAUGGUGAAGCAUGGACCCACUUUGAUGCCAUUCACCAUGAGAAAGCCAAAGAGGCUCGACAUGUUCGUGUUGCGCUGGCCACAGAUGGGUUCAAUCCCUAUGGAAUGACUGUUGCCCCAUACACAUGUUGGCCCGUGUUCGUUAUCCCCAUCAAUCUCCCCCCCCCCGGCGUAUGCUUUCAAAGACAGAACAUAUUCGUGUCGUUGAUAAUUCCUGGACACCCGGGGAAUAAAAUGGGCGUGUACAUGGAGCCUUUGAUUGAUGAAUUGGUUCGUGCUUGGGAGGAAGGGGUAUGGACGUACGACCGAGCUACGAAGACAAACUUCAAAAUGCAUGUUUGGUACCAGUACUCCAUGUAUGACUUUCCGGCGUAUGGGCUAUUUUGCGCCUGGUGUGUUCACGGUAAGUUCCCAUGCCCAGUUUGCAAGGAAGCUCUUAGGUUCAUUUGGUUGAAGAAGGGUGGCAAAUAUUCGUCAUUCGAUAAACAUCGACAAUUUCUCCCUCCUGACCAUGCAUUCCGACUAGACAUCAAGAACUUUACGAAAGGUGUCGUGGUGACAGACCGCCCACCUGCAAUGAUGACUGGUGUCGAAGUUCACGAACAGAUAGAUGGUCUCGUGGCCAACCUAGAAGGUGGUUUUGUGGGAUAUGGUGAGCAACAUAUGUGGACACAUAAGUCGGGCUUGACUCGGCUCCCCUAUUAUGAUGACCUGCUCCUUCCACACAACAUUGACGUGAUGCACACUGAAAAGAAUGUCGCGGAGGCACUUUGGGCAACAAUUAUGGAGAUUCCUGAUAAGUCAAAGGAUAACGUAAAGGCAAGAGUGGAUCUGGCAGAGUUAUGUGAUAGACCAAACCAAGAGAUGAAGCCGCCUAGAGGUGGUAAGACAUGGAGAAGGCCUAAGGCCGAUUUCGUCCUGAGCAGGGCCCAGAGGAAGGAAGUACUAGAGUGGAUCAAGAUGUUAAUGUUCCCUGAUGGGUAUGCAGCUAACCUUAGUAGGGGGGUGAACUUAUCUACUCUGCGAGUCUUAGGGAUGAAGAGUCAUGACUUCCACAUAUGGAUUGAACGAAUUCUUCCGGCGAUGGUUCGAGGCUAUGUCCCUGAGCAUGUCUGGCUAACGCUUGCAGAGUUGAGCUAUUUCUUCCGCCAGCUUUGUGCAAAAGAGUUAGCUCGGACCAUGAUUGCAUACUUGGAAAGGAUGGCACCCGUAUAAGGUAUCACCGCACGCUAAAUUGCCUGUUCCAAACGAUGAAGAUUAUAACUUAGACCCAGACACAUAUGACGGAGAGUUCUUCCAAGAAGAUGGGCUCGAAGGGCGAUUUGAGAUAGACUUAACCGAAGCGAUCGGAAUGGAAGUAGAUAUUGAAAUGGUUGUUGAUGACGAGGAUGAUGAGGUGCAAAAUGAGAAUGACUUAGAAAUACUUGAAGGCAAUGCCAAUGACGAAAUUGCGCCUUCAGAUACUGGAAGAGAUAAUGUUGACUAUGAAAUGGUUGAUAGUGAUGAUGACACUUAUGAUCCGGCUAACCCGGACACAUAUGAAGAUUAUUUUUAAUCGAUGUAAUGCUAUAUUUCAUUUAUUUUGCAUAUGUUUCUAAAUACAUAUUUUUUUAUCUGUGCUUAAUUUUUUACUCUUAAUUGCAGGUUGUUGGACAAAGAUGGUGGGCGGUGGGACGAGGACGAGGAGGGGGAGGGGGAGGGGGAGGAGGAGCACCCGUAGAACGGAGGAGGAGGCGCAGCAGGACGACGCCGUACAGCAGCAGGUGGAGCAGCAUGCCGCUGUCGAUGCGGCACAGCAGGACGAUGACGAUGCGGCGCAGCAGGACGACGACGACGACGACGCCGCUCAGCAGGACGUCUCAGGUUCUGGCUCCUCAGGUUCGAGGAGUAUCUACCUGCGAGGUCCCGCGAGCCUCCCUAAGCGACCCAUACUUCGUGACAGACGUCCGCUGAUACGACUCGAUGGAGAGAGGUAGGUAACUUUAGAUGUUGUUGCUGCUUUUUCAUAUUAUAUGUUCAAAUUAAUAAUAGAAACUAAUACUUCAUCUUAAUCACUUGGACAGGUCUUGGAUGGUUUUGGAGACUGCAGGGGGUCACGGCCGCAACCCCAAUGGCAUCCUCGGCCUUCUAUGCCGGGAACACUUCCCUGGACUUGUCGAGUACGCCGGAGUGACGAGCCCAGCAUACACCUUCGACCACUACGCCGUCGCCCCUGAUGCAGUAGAUCGGGACGGCAGACAAUUCAACAACAAGGCGAAGCGGGUGAAGCAAGAGCUAUGGGUAAGUCUUCCUCGCACUAUAUUGUUUAAUAAGUCGCAUUUGUUGCAUAUUCUUGAAAUAAUGUAUGGAUACAUCGUCUUUGUAUGUAGGAUUUCUUCAGGUGCGAUGCUGGAUACGAGGCCAGGGCGGAUGUGGUGUCUACGACGUGUUGUAAGAAGCUCGUCGUGGACAUGCACUACGAGGCGCGCAUCUAGGCCAUCGUCACUUACCACGGCUCCGUCCUUGGGGAGAAGGUGAACAAGAAGGACGCCCGAACCAUGUCGUUGACUCCGGACCAGUACUUGCAGGUAAAUACAAAACUUUAUUAUUGGUACUAAAUAUGCUUAUUUUUAUCUUCUGAUAUGCGGUGUACUUAUAUUUUUUUAGAUGAUUCCUCAUUGGUGCGCCGCGCACCCUGAGUGCUGGGAGCAGAUGGUGCAGAGGUGGUGCUCAGCUGAGUGGGAUGAGGCGCACAACGCUAGCCGGGAACGGCGUUUGCUGAUGCAAGGUCCCUCCCACCAUCAAGGCAGCCGCAACCUGGGCAAAUACGCGGAAGCAUGGGUACGCGCUCUUUUUUAUUUAGGUAUAUAACUUUCGAUUAGACAUGAUUUCUAACCAUCUCGUUGGUUUUCUCGCAGUCGGCGGCACAUGGUGGCGCACCUUGCUCCACAUUCUCGGCAUAUGCCAUGGCCCACAAGGGGAAGGCGACGUCCGACGUCACCUACAACCCGGAUGACGGGCCCGAGGUGUACACCAACCCCGCCAUCCACAGCCGACUUAGUGAGUACACCGCCAUGGCCAAGGAGGUCCAUGGGCCAGAUUACGAUCCGAGGACCGAGGACAUCGACGGAGAUGUCCUCAUGAGGGUCGGAGGAGGCAAGAGGCAUGGGCGGUACUGGAUUGCCGACGGGGCAAUCGACUCGUCCUCCACUCCCACUCUCUCUCAGGUGCGAGCAAGGAGCACGAGCGCGAGCCCAGCCAUACGACCUCGGCAGGACACCUCACAGCAUCGUAUCCAGCAACUCCAGGUUAUUCCUUAUCUAUUCAUCGUUCAUUGAUUUUUAUAUAUCUUCUCUUUGCAUUAUCGUAACAUUAGGGCGAAAUAUUACAGACUCAGCUAGAUGAUGAGAGGAGGCAACGUGAGGAGCUGGAGAAGAGGAUGGCGGAGAUGUUCGCGUACAUGCAGAGCCUUGGCGCCGCACAGGGUCAUGCUCCACCACCUCCGUUGUUCCCUGCAGCUGACCCUACAGAGUUCACUACUCCUGUGAGUAUCAAAAUUUUAGUACUGCAUGAUAUAUAUUCAUAUGUUCUCACACAUACAAUCUGUUCUCUGUGCAGGGUCAAUCGGCGGCGUCGAACAACCCUCAUGUUUCGUCCAGCCCUUCGCCGAACCAGUCCAGAUGCCCACCUCGUUGAUGAUCUGUUUUGUGAUGAUCCAGACUUACCUUUAUGAGUGUUGGUGAUGUUAGUUAGACUUUGUCUUGUGAGAUACUUGGUGAUGUCAGUGAUGAUGCAGACUUAUAUCUGUUUUGUGAUAUUCCUGACUUAUAUUUGUGAGACUUUAGUGAGACUUUGUGAUAUAUAUGGUGUUGAUGAUAAAUGUGUUCAUUCUGUGAUGUGAUUGAUAUAUAAUGUGAUGUGAAUGAUAUAUAUCUUUUGUUUGUUCGGAUGGAACAGCAAAAGCAAAUAAAAAAGGGACAUCCUGGUCACUUUGCCGAGUGUAACACUCGGCAAAGAGCUUCUUUGCCGAGUGCUAUGACCAUGGUACUCGGCAAAGAAGAAAACCUCGGAACCGGUAAAGCCAUCUUUGCCGAGUGCUGACCAUGGCACUCGGCAAAGAAGGAAACCUGGGAACCGGCAAAGACAUCUUUGCCGAGUGCUGUUGCCAAGGCACUCGGCAAAGGGACUAGCAAAGGGGCCCACUGGAGGACUCUUUGCCGAGUGUCCGUCCACUAGACACUCGGCAAAGAGUCCUCCUUUGCCGAGUGCCUACGAGAGCUCUCGGCAUAGGGACUGGCGGUGGGGCCCACUGGACCUGUCUUUGCCGAGGGCCCCACACUCGGCAAAAUUGGCCUCUUUGCCGAGUGCCUUGGCAACAGCACGGCAAAGGAGCUGAUUCCGGUAGUGAUAUACAGUUGGAUGGGAUAUAGUGAGCAUUCGGUAACGUAUAUUUUCUCAAAUCUAACAUAUAUAUAUUCCUAAAUAAGGGCAUAUGAAAAUAAGGGCUCACCGGAUGAAACAUGAUAGCCACAUUUACGCAGAAGAUAGAAUCGGCGUGAAACUAAGACCAAAUUACCACCAUCAUAAUUGGAGUUGUAAACAACAGUCAACUUUUCAUUUAUCUCAUCCUCGUAGUGGUAGUCCAGAUUUAGUCUCUGCAGGGUGAUAAUAAGGUCCACUAUUUCUGGCACAUCAUGUGAACCUUUAAUCAUGCUUCUCACUUUUUCCCUCAGCACUCCAGCCCUUUCUCGCAUUUCAGCUUCCUGCAGUGAUGGGCACAGGCAAAACGUACGCGUUUACAUACAUAUUAUAUUUUAUGUAACUAGGCAAGCAUAUUAAUUUGCAUUGUUACUAAUCAUGCAUGUUGAACUAAUGUUACCUGUGCCUCGGUGGGAGCCUCGUAAGAAAGAAAGAAAUCUCCCCACAAAGUUGGAUGGAAGGAGGGAGACAUCUUCUUCAUCUCCUGCUGGCCGAGGCGAGGACCAUCUGCAGUUAGUGUUUGGGCAGCCAUAUCCUUUUAGCAGAUGUGUGGGAUCGGAUGCUUUUGGUAGUGAGAUAUGGAAAGCCUCAUGGGGGGUGCUAUUUAUGCUUUGUGCAGACAAAGUCUAUGCUGGCGCCCCCUUAUACUUUUCAACAUGGAAACGGAGAAAGUGUUAAGGCUCUACUACUACUUAAAUCAGCGGUGAUAGAGGGUCACCAACCGGUGACAGGUGAUUAUGUGGUAGUGGAAUGGAUUGUACAGUAUGUACCUGCAACUUGCACUACGACUUACGUUUCUAUACCAGGUGUAUUUGGUUCGUUUAGCUUUCCCAAAAAACAGGGCAUCCAUGUGUUGAACACCAUAUCUAGUACUUAGCCAUGAUCGACGGUCUGGCCAUCUGGUUCGGCUAGAUGGUCCGUGCCCGCCCCGAACGGUCCACUGGUGUAGUAUAAACAGUUCACGAGAUUAGAUUAACUCAAGAGUAUUUAUCACACGUGUGCUUAUAUUACCCAGCAUAUAAUUAAAUUUUUUAUUACCCAGCUUAUCCCGCAUGCGCUUAUAAUUUGUUUUCAUAGAUGUAUCAAAUGGUUAAUGACAAGUCUCCGCGCGUCCUAGGACAGCACAUUUCUUCUGAUAGGACCAGACAUAUUCCAUCAUCAUCCACUACAGUAAACGUAACAACUUCCGACGGCCAAAACCGUCGGACAUAAGUAUUAAACCGUCGAAAAUAGCUUAUCUCCGACGGCAAUGCCUUAUCUCCGACGGCUUUAAGCCGUCGGAGAUAAUUCGUCGGAAAUAGUGCAAUGUCCGACGGCAGCCGUCGGACAUAAGCUAUCUCCGACGGCUGCUUGUGCCCGUCGGAAAUAAUAAAUCCCAACCGUUUUAACGGUCAGCCUGUGGGCCCCACAGGAUUAAGUCCGACGGCCUAGCGACGGCCGUCGGACAUAAGCAUCCCUUAUGUCCGACGGUAUUUAAUGCCGUCGGACAUAAAGCAAGGUUAUGUCCGACGGCUACCACUAGGCCGUCGGACAUAACAAAUUACAGAAUUUACACAAAAUUCUGUUUUUUAAAAAAUCUGACAUUUACAAAACAAAAACAGAUUCAUGCGCAUAUACACAUUCACAAUCACAAAUAUACACAUUCUAAUAAGUAUUCACAAUCACAAAUAUUCUCACAUAAAUAUUAACAUUCACAAAUUUAACAUCAACAUAUAGGUUCGACGGUUGUUGCAAACUGAAAUUGUGUCUCACAAACAAGUGUUGCAAAGUGUUUCAUAAAUAAACAUCACGACACAUCAAUCAUAUCCAUCGUCUGGAUGGUUCGAGUAGCCACCUCCUCCGGCUGGACUCUGCGUGUUGAAAAGGUUGUUGACCCACGAAUGUGUUGUGUCGUCUUGACCAGACCCAUCUCCAGGUGCGGCAACUGAAGCGGGUGGUGUCUGAAAUCCCUAUAACACAAGCACAAGAAAUAGUAACCACUCAGUUGUUCAUUUAAACACAUAAGACAUCUAUGAACAUGUCACACACGCAUAUGUGUACAUACCAUAGGGAAUUGUGACGGAGGCGGAGGCGGAGGUGGAUGCGCCAACAUUGGCAUUGGCAGUGCAAAGUCCGGAGGCGGCAUCCCAUAUGUCGGCAUCGGGACGCCCGCUUGUUGGGCUAGUUGCUACAAAUUAUAUACAAGUCAUUGUUGAACAAACAAGAUACACAUCAAGUGUUUUGCAAAAUAAGCUACAAAAUGUUACUUCAACUUACCGAGAGAAGAGCUUGAUUUUGGGCCUGGAGGCUUGCAUAAUACUCGUCCCUCUUCUUCUGGUACUCGGCUUGUUGUCUCUGGUAUUCAGAUUGUUGCCUCUGGUACUCCAAUUGUUCCCUCAAGACUGAUUGAUGGUACUCUGCCUGUUGACGCAACACCGCAAGCUCUAUCUCAUGGGCUGCUGAUCGUGAACGGGACGACUGUGAAGACGACGAUGUGGAUUGUCGUCCACGGCGUCUCAGCUCUCUGGAAUCAAUCGUAGAAUCAAAAAUACCCAACCUACAAGAGUGAACCAUGCACUUAGUAUAGUAACUCAUGGCUCAGUUGAAUCACAAGCAUAUGAUGACAAUUUUGAAAACCAAAUCAAAUAAUCUCACCGUCCAUGGGCUUGUCCUCCUGCGCUAGCAUAUGCUGCCUGAGGGUCGAUUGGCUGGCUCCUCCAAUCGUACUCCUCCCCAUGGCGUUGAACCAUCUCCUGCCCAUACGAAGCCUGGAGGCAAACAAUAUCAAAUAUAAGUGCAUAACCCCUAUGCCCUUGCAAACAAUAUCAACACACAUAAUAGAGUAUCAAAAACUCACUAGACGGUCGGUGGCCGUCUGAGUGCAUAACACAUCAGGAUUCUGAGGAUCAGAACCCCUAUGCCCUUGCAUAUACACCUCCACAUCCGUGGGCGUACGACCGGAUUUGACUUCCUGUACAUAAAAGUUAUAAUGACACAUUUCUAUGUGAUUCAAAGUUACGACAAACUGUGACUUACCAUUCGCUUAGCCAAGCGCACAUGACCAUCACCGCCGUAGUUGUGGAACGACUCAGUGCCACGGUUUCCCCUGUUCCUUUCGGAAAUGGCACGAAACUCAGGGGAAGCCCACCAUCUGCACAAUGCCCGAUAACCGUCUGAUCGGGUGGCCAUCCACGGCACCGACACCUACAUGAAAUUUUUUAAAUAAAGCAAGCAAAUACAUGGCUUUGUGCGAUAUGAGAGGCAACAACCUAUUUACCUCUAGGUAUUGCUCCUCCGUCAAGUAAAUUGAUGACCACUCGGCCUUUGUAUUUGGCAUCGGUCGAUCAUCAGCAUUUGCUCUGUACCAUGCCUUUAUAGCCUGAAUUCGUGCAUAGUACAUUGCAUCUGCAACGACAUCGUUCGCGUUAAACUCAAACACGUAACGAGCGUUCAUAUCAUAUGAUCCAUCGUCCGGCAACUUGUACCGUUUCUGCAAAAACCAUAGUGUUAUCAUAAAAGCAAACAUAUAUGGAAUAACUAAAAUAGUAUAAACAAGUCAUACCCAGAAUGCAUCCCAAACUAGUGCCUGUGUGUUGCCAAACGUUCUACAGACACCAUAGCGAUAAUGCUCCCAAGUGGUGGCGGGGACAGACUCGCCAGUAGGCAAAGUCACAAGACCAGGCCAGUGCAGACGAACAAGAUUACCAAGAACCAUGUUCACCUGCCUGUAGUGUCCUGUGCCUGUGAACGAGUCGUCGAUCCAAGUCCUGCAAACAGAAAUCAAUGUAGAAAUUAAAACAUAACUUUCAAUAACAUUUAAGCAAAGAUAUGUCACUCACUUUCCACUAGGCUUUAUCACAACCCGAGAUUCGGGUGGAAGCUCUGGAGGUGGUCCAACAAAAUGCAGCUUCCUCGUUCUCUUAACUCGAGAAGUUCCAGACCCAGCUGCAGAAUCUCCACCAGCCCCAGAAUCCCCAGCCCCAGAAUCCCCACCAGCGUCGUCUCCAGCAUCAUCUCCCACAUUAUCUCCACCAUCAUCUUCAACAUCAUCUCUUGCAUGAUCCUCUACCACUGGUUCCUCAAUUUCAGCAUCCUAUGAAACAAAUAACUUACAUCAUACAAUAUUAAGUAACUCAAAUAAUGUAAUUUAACAACUAACUUACAUCUUGUGGAGGCAAAUGUUCUGCCAGCGCUCUCCGUCUGCUCAUGGUAGAACCCGUGCCCUGAAAAACUGAAUCCUCACCCCUCGAGCUGCUCCUCGAGCUACUCCUCGACCCAAGCAAACUACGAGCUAAAGACUUCAUUUUCUUUGACAUCCUAUUUUAACAAAAACAAGUUAGUACAUAAAUCGACAAUAAAAUAAUAAAAUAUGCAAUAAAAUCAUAAAAUAUGCAAUAAAAUCAUGAUCCAUACUCGUCAAUCGUAAUCGUAAUCAAAAUCAGGAUCUAGUUGCUUUCGUCGAUUUAAUGGACGCCAAGUAGCUUUCUUCUUUCUCGUCACUCGUUUUCUUUUUGGAGGAACCUCUACAUCAUUUUGAUCGCCUAAUAAAGAUUCUUCCAACAUUUCAGUUUGUACAUUAAACGUGCUUGUAAGUUCUUCGUCUUGGAAAAUCUCAGCAGCCCCCACUUCCUGCUCGAUUUGACUUUCAACAUAACCAGCAUCACCAGGAGCAUAUAGUCGUUCACGCGGAUUAACUUUGUACACUACCCUCCAAUCAACCAAACCGUUUUUCUUAGAUGGAUAUGUCAUAUAAUACACCUGCUCGCAUUGGUGGGCAAGGAUUAUAGUGUCGUGGCCUUUUAAUCUAUCGUUGUGUUUGACUUCCACCAUGCCAUAUUGAUUUUCUCGCGUUGUAUUUGGAGAAAACCAAUCACAAUCGAAGAACACCACUUUGAGUUGUUUAUCUCCAAAAAACUUGUACUCGAUUAUAUCAUUAAUGACUCCAUAAUAAUUAGUCACCUUCCCUUCAUCAUCGACAGCUCUAGUUACAACUCCGGAGUUUGUCGUGGCUGCUAGAGGAUGAUCAUCUUCGAACCUUGUGGAACGGAAUCUAAAACCAUUGACAUCAUACCGACCAUCUGCCAGUUACUGCUCCCAGGGAUAAUUGUCGAAGGUCCGGGUGUAUAUUGUCAUUUUUAUCUACAUAAUCUCGAAACCAACACAAGAAAUUAAGUCCCCCAUCUUUUCCCUCUCGACGAAUCUGGUCACGUUCACAGCCAGAGAUGCAAUUUUGAGAAUCAAAUUCCCUGUUAGUACAAGGAAACAAACCUUUUAGUAUCACAACAAAAAUUCUAGCGGCAAUGACUAAAAUAAAGUUUACACUUACAGGAGAAACUGACUCAUCUCUUCCAUGUUGUUAUACAUGUAGAGUAAAGCAGUCUUCCAUUCGUCGUUGGUGAAACAGUAUGUUGUGCUGGGUCCUACAGUUUUGCCCCUCCAUUGAAAAAUUUCAAUAUCACUAAUAGGGGGCUCGUCGACAUGAUACCGCAACGUAUGGGCAUUGACAUUGUGUUCCUCUGCAAAGUACAGGCCCGUGAACGAUGCUAUCUCUUUGUAUUUGAAUUCUUCAGCGAUGCACCCUUCAACUCGUCUCUUAUUACCAACCAUUGCAUGUAGCUUCUUUAGUGUCCUUUCGAUGUGAUACAUCCAUCUAUAUUGCACAGGACCUCCUACCUUAGCUUCGUAUGGUAGGUGAACAAGUAGAUGUUGCAUCGGAUUGAAGAAACCUGGUGGAAAUAUUUUUUCAAGUUUGCAUACCAAAAUCGGUAUUUCUUGCUCAAGCUUCUCCAUCAUCUCUUUCUUUAUUUCUUUGGCACAAAGAUGUCUAUAAAAGUAGCUUAGCUCCGCUAAUGCUUUCCAGACAUCAUUUUUUACAAAACCACGAAACAUAACAGGAAGGAGUCUUUCCAUUAUUAUGUGGUAGUCAUGACUCUUCAACCCAGAAAACUUGCCCGUCUUCAAAUUCACAGACCUUCUAAAGCCCGCGGCGUAACCAUCUGGGAACUUUAAGUUUUUCAACCAUUUCAUCAAUUGUUUCUUCCUUUUAGGUUUAAUACUGAAAGGAGCACGUGGCUUCUUCUGAUUCUCUCCUAUCUCCAUAGUUGGUCUUCUACAGAUUAAUGCCAAGUCUUUCCUUGCCUUAGGGUUGUCUUUUGUUUUGUCGGUGAUAUUCAUGCAAGUGCUGAUAAUGCUUUCACCCAUAUUUCGUUCCUGGUGCAUGACAUCAAUGUUAUGCAUUAGAAUCAAGGCUUUCAUAUAAGGGAGUUCCCAUAGACCACAUUUGUGAGUCCAAUUAUGCUCCGUUCCAUAACCUUCAAAACGAUUUCCAUGUUCGUUUAGUUUCAAAUCAUUAAGUCUCGCGAGAAUCUCUGGACCACUUAGACGCUUGGGUGGUCCCCUCGUCACAAUCGUGUCCUUUUUAAAAGCGUUCCUAUCGAACCUGAACGGGUGAUCCUCUGGCAAAAAACAUCUAUGGCAAUCGAAGUAACAUAUCUUUGCACCAAACUUUAGUCGAAAGCAUAAAGUGUCUUCAACGCAUAUAGGACAUGUCAAAAUCCCAUGACAACUCCAUCCAGCAAAGAUACCAUAAGCCAUAAAAUCAUGAAUAGACCAUAAAAACGCGGCUCUCAGGUUGAACUUCUGUUUCUUGUAACAAUCGUACGCCUCGACUCCUUCCCACAAAAUUUUCAAUUCUUCAAUCAGGGGUCUCAUCAUCACAUCGAUCUUUGUUCCAGGAUGAUCCGGACCAGGUAUUAUAAGACACAAGAAAAUAAAUUCAUAUUUCAUGCAAAGAGCUGGUGGAAGGUUGUAUGGAACAGCAAAGACGGGCCAACAUGAGUACGACGUUGCAGUUAGAUUGAAUGGUGAGAAACCAUCUGUUGCCAAACCGAAGCGGACAUUCCGCACUUCAUCAGCAAAGCUGGAAUCAAAAGCAUCUAGUGCCUUCCAUGCAUCUGUAUCAGCUGGGUGCACCAUGACAUUUGGAUUCUCACGUACCCCUUCUUUGUGCCACCUCAUGUGUCUGGCUGUAUUCUUGGAGAUGAACAAACGUUUCAACCGAGGUAUGAGAGGCAUGUAACGAAGCUGCUUACGUGCAAUCUUCGUAGUCACGGUGUUGGAACUUGCUCACAGCAGCUAGUAGGCCAACAGGGGUGAACAGUGGCGACAACAGGGUUACGUGCUCGGGGGCAAUAGCUCUGUUAAUCUAGCCUCUCACGGGCACUGUGCGGGGGUAUUUAUAGGUAUCUGAGUGCCCAGCGCCUCGUGUUAAGGACGCAAGUGCCCUCAGACACCUAGUUUAUCCCCAGAAUAUUCCCAUAAAGCAGAGUUACAAGCUAUAAUUACAAGCGUGCCUUUACAGAUUAGGCCCGUAACACAAAGGCGGCCACGCAGGGCCUGUUACAAUGGGCCAGAUCACGCGUGGGCCUCAGAGCUGAACGAGGCCGCGCUGCGGGAUGGCGUCGCCGCAGGCCUUCGUCUGGUGCCGAAUGGAGCGAAGGGUGUCCCCGCCCGUUUUGUCUCUGUCAAACCGGCGACUGCAGCGAAGGCCUCGAGCGAAGGGUGGCGUCUUUGCCUUCGCCCCAACAUUUGCCCUCCGAGGGACCAGUUCGACAAAGUCACCUGGUGCCGAAGACGUCGCUAGAUGGUGGAGACGCUGCCCUCGCUCGAAGUGGUUCCGCGGGGGUUUUUGAUGUGACCGUUGAUGGACGGCGUACUGUUGGAUUGCGGGUUUCCCGAAGCGUCACGCCCUGUCGGAUUGCGGGUUUCCCAAAGAGCCGCGCCCUGCCUAUAAAAGGGGGCGGGGGUCGGCGCUGUUUGAACUUUGCCUUCCGCGCUCCGUGAAAACCCUAGCCGCCCGCCGUCUUUGCUGCUCCUCUUCUUCCGCUGCUCCUCUUGCUCGCCGGAGUUCUGGCGCGAGUGAAGCAGACCGCCCGCCGCCGCCGACGGUACGUAGCAAUGCCGUCCUCUUCUUCUUCCGCUGCCACUACGCCGCCGGCCUCGUCCGAGGAGACGUUGAGUAGCUUGAUGGUGGAGGAGUUGCGCGCCGGCGACUCUGUUGAUUUUGGUGUGUCGCGGAUGACGUCAGCCCGCGUUGAAGAUAUGCAGCGGUUGGGCUACUUUGGCGGCGGAGUUGCUCGUGCUCCGGGGACGGAGGAAGUCCCCGAGCCGGAGGGUGAGUUGGUCGUUUUCGAGGCGUUCUUCGCCGCCGGUCUCCGCUUGCCUGCGCACCGGUUUGUUGGCGAAGUCCUGCGUAGAUUCAACGUUCAAAUACAUCAGCUGACACCGAAUGUCGUGGUGGCACUGUCGAAGUAUGUCUGGGCGACGACUUCGUACGGCGGACAGCCGUCGGUUGAAGUUUUUGCGAAGUAUUAUUGUUUGCACUGGCAGAAAAGGAUGAUUGGGGACGAAGUUGCCCAGUUCGGGUCAUGCACAUUCACGCCGAAGACCGGCAAGACCACAAUGCAAGUAGUGGAGUUGGUUCCGUGCGCCCGCAACAAGUGGGGCAAUUGGAAUGAAUUUUGGUUUUACGUUGCUGAGGCUACUGUCGAAGGCCAUGAAGGACUCCCCGUGUCUGAGAUGUGCUCUCAUUAUUACUCUGCGUAUCCGCCCUUUGAAGUGGCAGAGGAGGAUGCAGACGAAGGGGCCCUUCGGUGCGCCGCCGGUCAGAGCAGUGGGCGUGAUUUAGUUGAAGAGUUCGUGGCGUACGGGGUGUGGCCCUUGGCGCAUGGCUGGACGUUGGGCGAAGUGUGCCCUCGCCAGAUGCCCUUUCACGGAGGAAGGGAGGUGCGAAGUCCUGCCUUCGCACUGAAUCUACGAAACUGCGACCCGGCCGCCUUUGUGCGCGAUGCGGAGGACGGGGCGGUGCGGCUCGUGGGGCGCUACGUGCCGAGGACGGAAGGCCAGCGCAGCUUUGAUAUCCGCGGGUCAAAUGACCGUUUGAACAGGGUCUUCGAAUUAAAUCAAUUGUCGUACGACGGCUAUCCUGGUCAAGACGAAGCGGACCGCCGUGGGAAGAAACCGGCGGUGGAGACUGGAGACGACCCUGCGCCGGCGGCCGCCCCUUCCUCGAAAAAGAGAAAAUUAGGUACUGCGAUGGGAGGACUUGGGGUGUCAGUGGAGAGUUUUUUCUUACGGGCGGAAUAUCGGUGCUGUUGUGUGGGUAGUGAUGGACAAGGAUCGCCAAGGUGCGGCGCAAAAACGCCAGGCGGCUGUCAAGCUGCAUGAAGCUAGGCCGAAGAGGCAGCGGGGGGCUGCGAAGGCUGCGGCCUCCGGCGGAGGCAAGCCGCCGCUGGCGGCGAAGGCGGGCGCCUCUGCACCUAGCAAGGCGCCGGAGGCAACGGCGGGCGCCGGAGGCUCCAAGUCAACGAAGGUGGUGCCGCCGGCCAGCGGAGUGGCGGAGGCUUCGAAGGCGGCCCGAGCGUUGCCGUUGUCGGGCAAGCGCGUUGCCGACUAUCUUGGUGGUAAGUCGUUGACCUAUUAUUAUAUAUAUAUAUAUAUUUUUAAUUCGAAGACGCGUUGUAGGGUCGGACGAGGGCCAGCUUGCUAUGGUUGCGCCUGGCGCGGAGAUCGCGACGGCGGCCAUAGUGCCGAAGGCGAGGGGCGAGGCCCUUGACGUCGGAGGCGAGGUGUCGGCCCUCGCGGUGGUCAGGGACAAGGCGGGCGCAGCGACCCGCCGGCUGAAGGGAGUGACGGAGGCGCUGAGUCAGGCGACGGAGGCGCUGAGUCAGGUCCGCUGAGUUAUACUCUCUCCCCACCUCUUUUUUUACGGCAAUGGCCUUACGUGUGCUCUGCAGGUGGCUGACUUCGCCAGCCGUACUGCGUCGGGGGCCCUCACGGCAGCUGUGUCUGCCGAAGUCUAGAGACUUCGGACACAACAUGCUGACGCUGUCCGUGAGAAAUCGGCCUCCGACAGCAAGUGCCGUAAGCUAAUGGACAGGGUGGCCGCCCUGGAGAGGGAGAAGGCUGACCUCCGGCGCCAACUGGCGGCGGAGAGGAGGGAGGCGAACGAGGCCAUCGCCAAGGAGCAGGCUGCGCAGGCGGAGGCCAAACUGGUGCGGGCGGAGGGCAAUCUUGCCAAGGAGCUCGCCGAACAUCUGCAAGAGCGACUCACCGCCCUGGAGAGCCGCGCGAAGGGGGCCGAGGCCGCGAUGCGUGCGGAGGCUGAACGGACGCGCGCUCAGCUUAUGGAUACAUAUCGCGAGCUGGGCGCACGGACCGGCGACUUCGAGGUGCCGGACCGAGAGCCCAGGCUUCGUUGUCUGCAAUGGGUGCAGGAGGAGCUGCAGGAACUCCCCGCUGUUGUGGGGGGGUUUAUGUCGUACGCCUCCCUGGUCACCUGCGAGGGGGCGAUGAACGCACUCUCCCGCGAAGGGUGCCGGCACUUCGAGGUCUUCGACCAGGCAGAUGAAGAUUUUGAGCGAGAUGUCUAUAAGGUCGAAGACCCCGUUGUGAAGGAAUCUGCCGGGGCCCUCUACGACCGGAUGUGGGGUCCGCACGGUCGUGAGGUGGUCAGGGAGCGGGCCGAGAUUGCGAGGGCUCAGGUAAUGUUGUUGUUUGUUUGGCGUUUGCUGUAUGUGGGGUGUGCUUGUGUUUGCUGAGUUUUGUGUGUUUUGUCUUAGGCGGAGCGCGGCAAGCGGGUGGACGACUUCGGGGCUCUGAACAGCGCGCUGCCAGACCCGGAGCCGACCCUUGCGGAGGCUGUGACUGGGGUCGCCCUGGAGCCAACCCCGGAGACCGCAGCAAUCGCGACGGCUGCCCCCACAUCCGCUGUGGCCGGCGAAGACUUGCCCCCGAAGGUGGCCGAAGGCGCCCCUGAUGCCCCCGCAGCUGCUGUGCCGAGUGCUGAAGAUCCCGUGGCGGUGGCGACGGAAGCAACGGCGGAGGCAGCGGCGGAGCCAACGACGGAGCCAACGGCGGAGACUCCCGUUGCGUCAGGGCCUUCGCAGGUGGCGUAGUGGGUGUUUAGGGUUGGGGAAUUUUUGGAUGUUGUGCUGAAUUUUGGUUGCUGCGCAGGUUCAAGAUUUUGGGCCUGCGCACGCAACCGCUACUACUGAAUUUUUGGGGCUUCGACCGCGGAAGGUGGGAAUGAAUAUGGUGGGUCUAUAUCUGAGUUUUUUGAUUUUACUGACUCUGGGAGCUCGGUUGAGUGGACUGAGGAGUCGUCGGAGGAGGACUUGGAUUAUUUUGCGGCCUUGGACGUGGCUGCGGCGGAGGCUUCGCCACACGCCGCGGACGCGCCAGACGUGCCAGGUCCUAGCACCGGGCGCUGACGACGAAGGGCGGUUGCAAAGCGUAGGGUUAGUGUGGAGGAAGAGGCUCGGCUUCGCGUGAGUAGGGCUGGCCGGCAGGAGCUGUUGUCUUUGCCGGCCGCCGCGGGUACAGGUGAAGGGGAAUUGCGAAGUCUUUUUGCGGGUGAGGAGCUUAGGAUAAUGUUAUUUAAUUAUAGGGAGAUGGGAAUUAUUCCUAAGGUUGAGCCGAUGUAGAGUGUGGCGCCCUCGCUUGUAUAUGUGUAAAGGCUUGUAAGAUGAAGUUGUGUGCCCUCGCGUGCCUGUGCCUGCGAGGGCGUUGUGUACUUUGUCUGGUGUGGUUGGCUAUGCUGUGCUGGUGUGAUUAUGGUCGGUCUUAGCGCGGCGGUUUGAUGCUGUCGUUUUUGCUUUUGUUGUACUAGUUCGGCUGCGCCCUUAGGCGGCUUCUGCGCGGAGUCUUUGCGAUAGACUUCGGGUUUUCUCGCGCUUGUUGUGCUGGUCCGGCUGCACCCUUAUGCGACUUCUGCGCGGAUAGUCUUCGCGAUAGACAUCGGAUUUUUUCGCACUUGUUGUGCUUAGUCCGGCUGCACCCUUAGGCGACUUCUGCGUGGAUAGUCUUCGCGAUAGACAUCGGAUUUUUUCGCACUUGUUAUGCUUAGUCCGGCUGCACCCUUAGGCGACUUCUGCGCGGAUAGUCUUCGCGAUAGACAUCGGAUUUUUUCGCACUUGUUGUGCUUAGUCCGGCUGCACCCUUAGGCGACUUCUGCGCGGAUAGUCUUCGCGAUAGACAUCGGAUUUUUUCGCACUUGUUGUGCUUAGUCCGGCUGCACCCUUAGGCGACUUCUGCGCGGAUAGUCUUCGCGAUAGACAUCGGAUUUUUUCGCACUUGUUGUGCUUAGUCCGGCUGCACCCUUAGGCGACUUCUGCGCGGAUAGUCUUCGCGAUAGACAUCGGAUUUUUUUGCACUUGUUGUGCUUAGUCCGGCUGCACCCUUAGGCGACUUCUGCGCGGAUAGUCUUCGCGAUAGACAUCGGAUUUUUUUCGCACUUGUUGUGCUUAGUCCGGCUGCACCCUUAGACGACUUCUGCGCGGAUUUGUCGCACGCGAGGGUGGCUAGCGCUUAGCCUCGCGGUGACGUCGGAUUGGUCGAAUGUCGAAGGCCGUCGUCGCGGUCUGUUUUCGACGCAUGUUUUUGCGGGGGAUUUUUCACACAUAUAUUACAUGGCUCCGCCUCGUUAAAAACCUCACCCCCCGGGAGGAAAAGAGUGCGGGCCGGUACAAAAUUGUUUUUGGCGAAUUACAAGGGCGAAAUCAGCCCCAAUGAGUCAGACGAAAAAUUUGCGGAGGUUGUCGAUGUUCCAGGAGUGCUCCAGGUCCUCGCCGUUUGGCGUUGUGAGCCUGUAGGCGCUGGGGGAUGCUUUUGUCUUGACUAUGAAGGGGCCCUCCCACUUGGGCUCCAGCUUUCCCCUGGACUCCGUCCGAGCUGUUCGGACGAGUACGAGGUCCCCUUCGCUGAACUCCCUCGGGAUGACUGCGUGGUCGCGCCAUGCUUUGGUCUGGGCUUGGUAUUUGUUUAGGGCCUGUAGGGCGAAGACCCGGUCUCCGUCAAUGAGAUCUUUUGAAGCUGGCUCGUCCACGUCGGGGACGGCUGACGGAACUGUACGCGGGGACCCAUGCUUUAUUUCUUGCGGGGUCAUGGCCUCCGAUCCGUAUAGAAGGCGGAAAGGAGUGAACCCAGUCGCCCUGCACUCAGUUGUGUUUAGCGCCCAGACUGCCUCAGGUAAUAAAUCGGUCCAUCUGCCUUUUUUUUCAUCGAGGAGCAUCUUCUUGACAGCUGUGAAGAUUUUCCCAUUGGCGCGCUCCACGACCCCGUUGGACUGCGGAUGAUAGACAGAAGCGAAGGCAAGCUUGGUGCCGAUGGAAAAACAAAAAUCCUUGAAAUCUUGGCUGUCAAACUGCUUGCCGUUGUCAACUGUUAGCUCGGACGGUACUCCGAAGCGGCAAACAAUGUUUUGCCAGAAGAAUUUCUAGGCAGUCUUUGAUGUUAUUGUAGAAACAGCCCUUGCUUCGAUCCAUUUGGUGAAGUAUUCGACGGCUACGAAGGCGAACUUAAGGUUCCCCUGAGCGGUGGGCAGGGGCCCGACAAUGUCCAGGCCCCAGCGCUGGAGAGGCCAUGUAUGGGCAAUCAGCUUUGUAUACUGCGAGGGGUUGCCUGACCGAGGAGAGAACUUCUGGCAGGCUUCGCAGGACCUUGAGACCCGAUUUGCGGCGCAGAUCAUUGCGGGCCAGUAAAACCCUUGGCGGAUCACCUUGGCAGCUAGGGCCCUUGGCCCUGCGUGCGAGCCGCACGUGCCACUGUGGACUUCACGUAGGAUCUGCAUGCCUUCGGUUUUGGUGACGCACUUAAGCAUUGGCUGACUGACCCCUUUCUUGUAGAGCUGGCCCUCGAUUAGUGCGAAGUCCCGGCUUCGAUGUCUGAGGCGCUUGGCCUCGCUGGCGUCGGUUGGAUGAUAGUACCCCUGUAGGAACAGGGUUAUUGGUGCCCGCCAGUCUUCGGUCAUGAUUAGGUUGACUAUGCGGUGGCCCUCGCUAUCAUUAGUUAUUUGGAGCCCUUCGGGGCUCCGGACGGCAGGCGUGCCGAUGGUGUGAAAGAACACGUCGGAGGGCAAGGGCUCGCCCCUGGCGGCAGCCUUGGCCAAUGCAUCGGCCUCCUCGUUCUUGGCUCUAUCCACAUGCUGCAAGGUGAAUCCCUUGAACUGUCUCUCGAGACUUCGGAUAGCCGCGAGGUAUUGCAUGAGCGCGGGGUCUUUUGCUGCAUAGUCUUUCUCGAUCUGGCCGGCAACUAUCUUGGAGUCUGCCUUGAUGAUACAUGUGGUGACUCCGAGGGCCCUUAGCUUGCGGAGGCCGAGGAUAACCGCUUCAUACUCUGCUAUAUUGUUUGUGCAUCUGUCGGAUUCCAGAGCGAAGCUGAGGCGUGCUGCAUAUCUGUGUUUGACUCCGGCUGGUGAGGUGACGACUGCAGCGACGCCGGCCCCCGCAUGGCACCAUGCGCCGUCGCAAUGGAUGGUCCAAACCUUCCCUGUGGACGGGUCCGGCUGUGUUAUUGGCCCAGUCCAGUCGACGACGAAGUCUGCCAGGACUUGUGACUUGAUGGCUGUCCUGGGCUCGAAGCUGAUGUGGUAGCCGGAGAGUUCGGCUGCCCACUUGGCAAUCCUCACCGAUGCCUCCGGGUUUCUGAAUAGUUCGCCGAGUCCCCUGUCUGAGGUGACUCGGACCUUGAAUGCUUCAAAGUAAUGGCGCAGUUUGCGCGAGGACAUAACAACUGCGUAGGCGAUCUUCUCCAGCUCUGUCAUGUUGCAUUUGGACGGUGUCAGGACCUCGGAGACAUAGUAAACAGGGCACUGUCUGACUGCGCCCUCAACUGUCUGCUCCUGCACUAGUGCCGCGCUGACCGCGUGCGGCGAAGCCGCGACAUAGAGCAAUAGGGGGAGCGAGGAGUCGGGGCUUGUGAGGAUGGCCAGCUCCGACAGGUACUGUUUUAGUGAGGCGAAGGCCGCUGCUUGCUCUGGUCCCCAGGGGAAGUCUUUCGCACCGCGGAGUGUUUUGAGGAAGGGGAGACUUCGCUCGGCGGACCUGGAGAUGAAUCUGUUGAGAGCGGCCAAUCUGCCUGUCAGACGCUGGACGUCCCUGGCGGACUGCGGAGGCGACAUGUCGACGAUGGCCUGGAUCUUGGUUGGGUUGGCCUCGAUGCCGCGGUGUGACACCAGGUAGCCCAAUAUCUUGCCCUGGCGAACACCGAAGACGCACUUUUCCGGGUUUAGGCGGAGUCGUGCAUCUCGCAUGUUCGCGAAUGUCUCGGCGAGGUCAGCGAGAUGGUCCUCCUUAUUCUUGCUGGCGACGACUAUGUCGUCCACAUAUGUAAAUAUGUUUCUGCCAACCUGCCCUUCGAGUACUGUUUUGGUGAGUCUGGAGAAGGUGGACCCUGCAUUCUUGAGUCCCUCCGGCAUCCUGAUGAAGCAAUAAGUGCCGAAGGGUGUUAUAAAGCUGGUGCUAGCCUUGUCUUCCUCCUUCAUGUAUAUCUGGUGAUAGCCGGAGAAGCAGUCGAGGAGUGACAUGACCUCGCAUCCGGCCGCGCUAUCGACUAUUUUGUCAAUCCGCGGCAACGGGAAAUUGUCCUUCGGGUAGGCCUUAUUGAGACUGGUGAAGUCUAUGCACAUUCGCCAUUUCCCGCUUUUUUUCUGCACCAUUACGACAUUGGAGAGCCACGUGGGGUAAGCCACUGGCUCGAUGAAUUUAGCUUCUAGGAGGCGGUGCACCUCCGCCUUGGCGGCCUCUGUCUUUUCGUCGAACAUUUUGCGGAGCCUUUGCUUUUUUGGUCGCACCGAAGGGUCAAUUCCCAGGCUGUGCUCAAUUAUGGAUCGGCUGACUCCGACCAGGUCUAGGGCGGACCAGGCGAAGACAUCUUUAUUCUUGGCCAGGCAGCAGAGAAGCUUCUCUUCUUCAUGUGAUGUAAGGUCUUCGCUGAUAGUGACUGUCUGCUUGGGCGUGGCCUGAUCAAGGGGGACGGUCUUGGUCCCGUCUUGGCUCUGCAACUGUGCCUUGUCGUGUUGCUUAUCGGUUGGGCUGGCGGGCGCAGGGACCUCGCGCUGGGUCGUGAGACAGUGUACGUUCCUCUGACCAGGCACGAAGUCCCGCUCUAUGUUGCGCGCCGUCUGCUGGUUGUCGUAGAUCGUGAUAGCGCCUAGCGGACCUGGUAUCUUCAUACAUAGGUACAGUCCGUGGAUGGCAGCUUCGAACUUAUUGAUGGAGCCCCGGCCCAUGAUGGCGUUGUACGGAUAUACCAUGUCGACAAUGUCGAAGGUAACUUGCUCACUUCGGGCAUUGGGUGCUACACCGAAGGAGAAGGGCAGCUCUAUUUUGCCAACGGGAAAGGUGCCUUUGCCGCCGAAGCCAUACAACGGAUUAUCCGAAGGCUUGAGCAGGCUGUGGCUUAUACCCAUGCGGUCGAAGGCGUGGAGGAAGAUGAUGUCCGCCUGACUGCCGUUGUCGACUAGGACUUUGUGUAAGUCCCAGCCUGCCAUGCUGCAAUUGAUGACCAUAGCGUCGAUGUGGGGGGCGCUGCGUAGGUCGACGUCUCGUGCAUCGAAGGUUAGCGGUAUGUGGGACCACUUCGUCUGCACGACUGGGCCAGUGACUGCGACAUGGUUGAUGCUGCGGUAGUGGUCCCGCUUCUGCCGCUUGGUGUCGAAGUCAGUGCUGGACCCCCCUGUUAUCAUGUGAAUGACUCCGCGAUAUGGUUGAUCGGCGAAGUCUUCCUGCUUUGGGGCAUGGGGGAUGUUUUGAUGUUGCUGGUGUGGUGGUGGGGGUGGAGGAGGUACGAUUUGUACUUCCUGAUGGUGUUGGUAAGCGUGGUGCGGUGGAUGCGGAGCGGGAGCGUGGAUAUAUGGUGGAGGGGGUUGCUGGUAAUUAUGCGCGACAAUUCUGGGAUUGUCGGCUGGCUGCGCCCGCGCCAUUCUGUCUCUGGUGGCCUUCGUUUCGGGGCAGUCUUUGGUUUGGUCGGCGCAGUCUUCGCCGUGGAAAAGACAGUAGAACCGGCGCGGCGGCUGCGCGCGCCCUCGGCCCCUACCACGAGUUCCGUUUCUGCGGCCCUGGGGGGAUAUUUCUGGCGACGAGGGGGGUCAGCAGCAGGCUGCUGGUUGGCGAUGUUGUGCACUUGCUGCUGACUGCGGCCAUCUCGACCGGAGUCUGGUUGCGGAGUCCUUGUCCACGUGCGACUGGACUGCGGGGCAUCUUUGGGCUUCCGCUGUGACUCAACCUUGCGCUGGUGGAGCUCUUCGGAUUUGGCAUAUUUUUCAAAGAGCUGAUAUAGCUCUUGGAGGUUCUUGGGUGGAUCUCUGAUACAGUGGCUGUAGAGGACGCCGGCCCGAAGGCCACUGAUGGCGUAGUGGAUAGCGAUCUGAUCAUCGACGGAGGGCAGCUGUGACUUGAGUGUUAAGAAUUUGCGGUAAUACUCCCGCAGAGUCUCCUUUUCCAGCUGUUUGCAAAGCAAGAGCUCGGCCAAAGCGUCGGUGUCUGGACGGUACCCUUGGAAGUUGAGAAGGAACUUGUCCCUGAGACUUCUCCACGAAUCAAUGGACAGCGGAGGCAAUCUGGUGAACCAGGUGAGUGCUGGGCCCUCUAGGGCGAUGAUGAAAGACUUCGCCAUUGUGGCGUCGUCCCCUCCGGCGGAUGCAACGGCGACUUGAUAACUCAUUAUGUAUUGCGCCGGGUCGGUGCUGCCGUUGUACUUGGGAUAUGCCCCUGCUCGGAAGUUAGCUGGCCAAGGCGUCACUUGCAGGUGUGGCGCCAGGGGACUUCGCUCGUCGAGGUAGUUGACCCCUUGGAAUGGCGCGCCGUGCUGGAAGGCGUAGUCAUGCUGGGGGAAACGCGGGUUCUCCGGCGACGCCCGGUGUUGCAGGGGUGGGCCAUGCUGCAGGCCGAAGUGGCCUUCGCGCGUGUCUCCCGGUUGUGCGCGCUACUGGAGGGGUGGCUCUUGCUGUAGGCCGAGGUGGCCUUCGCGCUACAUCAGCGCGAUUUCGCGCUCGAGGUCUUGGGCCUUCUGCUCCUCGUCGCGUAUCAUUUGCCGCACCUUGGCUAGUGCGGACACACGCUGGCGUUUGGCCUCCAGUAUCUCUUUCUGCCUCUGGAGAUUGUGGUUCUUGAGGCGCAGGGCGCGCAGCUGUAACUGUUCUUCUGUUGAGACGCCGAGGACCUCGCCGUCCUCGGUGAGAUCCGCGCCCUCCAGUGGGGCGAAGCCUGGGGGCGGCUGCGAUUGUCCUUCGGGCCCGCAGGUGUGGAGGGUGUCGUCUUCGCAGGUGCGGGGAAUGUUGUCUUCAGUGGGCUCUUGGUGGGUGGAUUGGGUGAGGGCGAGGGCCUUGCCCUUUCUUGCGGCUAGCAGUGCUGCCUUCGCAGCCUCGUCAGCCUUUGGGUUAGCUCUCUUGGGUGCCAUCGCGGGUGGUUUUGUCGUAGCACGAACGGUGGGCGCCAAAUGUUGGAACUUGCUCACAGCAGCUAGUAGGCCAACAGGGGUGAACAGUGGCGACAACAGGGUUACGUGCUCGGGGGCAAUAGCUCUGUUAAUCUAGCCUCUCACGGGCACUGUGCGGGGGUAUUUAUAGGUAUCUGAGUGCCCAGCGCCUCGUGUUAAGGACGCAUGUGCCCUCAGACACCUAGUUUAUCCCCAGAAUAUUCCCAUAAAGCAGGGUUACAAGCUGUAAUUACAAGCGUGCCUUUACAGAUUAGGCCCGUAACACAAAGGCGGCCACGCAGGGCCCGUUACAAUGGGCCAGAUCACGCGUGGGCCUCAGAGCUGAACGAGGCCGCGCUGCGGGAUGGCGUCGCCGCAGGCCUUCAUCUGGUGCCGAAUGGAGCGAAGGGUGUCCCCGCCCGUUUUGUCUCUGUCAAACCGGCGACUGCAGCGAAGGCCUCGAGCGAAGGGUUGCGUCUUUGCCUUCGCCCCAACACACGGUCAAACCAUCGUCGUUUUCAACCUCAACGAAUCUACGCUCACCACAUACAGUACACUUCGUCUCACCUGCGGUCUCCUUCCAGAAAAGCAUACAAUUAUUUUCACAGACAUCGAUUUUUUCGUAGUCCAUACCGAGGCCAGAUAACAGCUUUUUAGACUGAUACAUGUCCUUUGGCAUCUUGUGAUUCUCCGGAAGUACAUCACUGAUCAAGUUCAAAAGUUCCUUGUAACAGUUGUUUGAGAAUGCAAACUUAGACUUAAUAGCCAUAAGUCGAGUCACAAAUACAAGGACGGUCACUUUUGUGUGCUCAUGCAACGGCUCUUCGGCAGCUUUAAGGAGCUCGAAGAACUUCUGAACCUCAGGUGUAGCUGGAUCCUCAAACUCGGUGGGUUGACCGGGGUUCUCCGAAUCGACGGUUAGAAACUCAUGGCGUACAUCGUCAAGCAUCUCUUCCAUCCUAUCGUAGUCCUCCUCUUCAUGUGACUGAACUUCCGAUACAAUACGAGGAGGUGGGUCCUCACCGUGGUGCACCCACACCUCAUAGCCUGACAUAUAACCGUUCUUGCAAAUAUGUAUCGACAUAGUCCUCCGGUCAAGGAAAUUAAUGUUCCGACACUUGCUACAAGGGCACCUAACAUCGGUUCCAGUCUCUGACCGAGCAAAAGCAUGGUCGAGAAAAGCAUCAGUCUUGGCCACCCACUCACUUGAUAGAGCACCUCUUUUCUUCCAACCUUCAUACAUCCAUCGACGAUUCUCCUCCAUACUAGAUACGAGACGUUAACUUAAUUAGAUAAGUAAUGCACGGGCCAUCCGUUUUUACGAAGAAAUCACGCCCCUACAUCUGUAGGAAAGGAUAGGUCCUAAACCCACCCAGGAGUGACCGACGAGGCCGUGUUUAUGACAAGACAUGUGGUCGUGCGAAAUUUCGGCAGCAUAACCCCGUUGUUCUCCAAUCGCACGCCUAAAAAUGGUGCAAUUGGAGAACAGAGAGGUUAUGCUGCCGAAACUAAGCAGGAGCACAUGCCUUUGUCAUAAACACGGACUCUGUCGGUCACCCCGAGGCUGUCCAAUAAAGGGACAAUUCCGGGCCAACAUACCUCACAUGCGUCGCUUGUAAGGUGUGUUGGGCCGAAACGGGUGACGCCUAGGUUUCGUUAACUUAAUUAGUUAUGAUUACUAAUUAACCACACUAAUACAAUAGUCAGUAAUUAACCAAACUAAUACAAUAGCACUACAAAAAAUCAUUUCACGGGACACUAAAUCAAAUAAAACAACCUUAUUUCCGAGGGCUUAAUAAUUACCCUCGGAAAUUAAAAGUUUAAAUUAUAUAGCCACUAAUAAAUAAAUUAAAACAAGCUAAUUUAAUUGCAUAAUUAAAUUAAGCCGUCGGACAUAACAAAACUAAACAUUGCUAGCAAACAAUAUAUGCAUAUACAAAAUUAUACUAAACAUUAUAAAAUUUCUUACUUUGCCGGACGAUUAGCGGACGCCGGCAGGGUCGGGGCGGGCGCCGGUGGCGUCGGGGACGGGGGCAGAGGCUCCGGCGGCCGCGGGCAGCGUCGGGGCGGCUCCGGUAUCGCUUGGGCGGCGGUGGAGUUGCCGGUCGACGCGGUGGUGUCGCUUGGGCGGCGGUGGAGUUGCCGGUCGGGUGUGGGCUGGGCGUCGGGACGGGGCUGGAGGUCCCCGGGAGCGGCGGUGCUGGUCGACGGUGGCGGCUCCUCGGCGAUGGUGGCGGCGGCGUGGGCUAGGCGGCGACGGCGGCGGCUACGCAUGCGACGGCGGCGAGCGGGAGAGACAGAGAGAAAUGAAACCGACGCGGGCGCGGGGGUCGGUUAAAAUCCAUUACUUCCGACGGCCACCUAGGAAACCGUCGGAUAUAAGCUUAUGUCCGACGGUCCGCCUCCCAGCCCUCGGAUAUUCUCCCUUAUAUCCGACGGCUGCUAGCGGCCGUCGAACAUAAGCUUAUGUCUGACGGUCUCCUAGGCAGCCGUUGGACAUAAUGGAGCCGUCGGACUUUUAUCGUUUUACUGUAGUGAUCGUCUCCUCAGGUCAAUAUUAUUUUAUAUGGGAAAUCGCAAAACCAUGACGAAUGAAAAUUGGCAUCUUUUGCUGAAAAAACUUGGACUUCCUUGAACGCACGGAGCACGUGAGAAGAAAACCUAGUACUGCAUGGCACAUGCUGCGAGCACUUAACUGUGUACAAUAGGGUAUGAUUGCUGGUAUUUGUGAGUGAAUUUUACCCUCACAGAUUUGACUACUAUGUUGUCGUUUACUAAUCUAUUUCAUUGCAUGCACCUCUUUAAUUACAACAGCAUCAUUUCUAGUCCGCGUUAACAAUGGAGAAUACUCGGGGAUUGGUUAUUCCUAGUAAAAAACAAUUUUCUCUCAUGGUGUCGAACUUUUUUCCACGAAUACAUGCUUUCACUACAGGAAAACGAUGUAUUUCCGACGGCCUCCACUAGUUCCGACGGUUCCUAGGGUACCGUCGGAAAUAAGUCUAUUUCCGGCGGCCCACGGCCAGCCGUCGGAAAUAAGACUAUUUCCGACGGCUUCUCAACCCCCCGUCGGAAAUAAGCCUAUUUCCGACGGCUGGCCAACUGGACCGUCGGAAAUAAGUGGACGCCCCCUAACGGCCGUCCCCCGCGCGGCCCCCCGGCCGCGCACACAGCCAACGCACACACGCACGCACACACGCGUUCUAACGACUCCGCGCCGCCGCCGCCAGGACCCGCCGCCAGGACCUUCGCCGGCCACCUGCCCGGUCCGCCGCGGACGCCCCGACGCACAGGGCGCCGCCGCCCCGAAGCCAGCGCGCCGCCGCCCCGAAGCCAGCGCGCCGCCGCCCGCCGCCCCGAAGCCAGCGCGCCGCCGCCCCGAAGCCAGCGCGCCGCCGCCCCGACGCCAGCGCGUCGCCGCCCCGAAGCCAGCGCGCCGCCGCCCCGACGUCCGCGCUCACAGAGCGCCGCCGCCCCGACGCCCGCGCUCACAGAGCGCCGCCGCCCCGACGCCCGCUCACAGCGCGCCGCCGCCCCGACGGCCGCACACCUGCCCCGACCCCGCACAGCGCGCCGCCGCCGCCGCGCCUCGAGCCGCCCGCGCCCGGCUUUGCCCACCGCCGCCGCCCGGGGCUCGCCAGAGCCAUCGCCGUCCGUCGCCGUCCGGGUAAUGGCAUCACUGUCGUUUAGUUUUCAUUAUGUAAAUAGUUUUUUUAAUAUAAUUAGAUUAUAGUCGUUCGAAUAUUUGAUGUGACAUGGAACCAUAAUACCCGUGCAGUGCACAUUGGCACGCUGCAUCGAGCCGAUCCGGCCCGGCCCGGACUGCGUGUUGCAUGGCUCCAACGAAAAUAGAAUAGAACCACUGCUAGCUAGGUCGACAACUGGCGCCAACAUGCUUGGCCAUCAUGCCAGACACGUAGGCAAGCUAGACGCAGUGGCGGCCUGUGACUCUAACCGUCUCCAUCUACCAUUAGUUUAAAGAAAAAAUGGAGCAGAAGGCAGUACUGGCUGUGCGCCUGUGCUAGUGCUUCUCUGGUAGCGAUAGCAACUGGCAUGGCGUUAACGCUUAGCUUAUCCAGUUUGAAGCACUGCUCGUUUAGAGAGGUGAGUUGACAGUAGUUAACGCAUCGACUUUCAUCUCUAUUCCAAAUCCCAGGUAACCAGUAGAGCCACGAUGGGUGAUAGUCGUCGCUGGAUGUAUGAAGGCUGGCGAAAAAAUGAUCCUUCGCUUGAGUGGAUACAGAAAACCGAAGAUUUUAUCAAUCGUGUUUUUUCUUCGUCAAUUUGAAACCAGACGGUACUGGUUACCUGGGAUUUGGAAUAGAACAUAAUUGGACACAUAAAUGUUCUUUGUGGGAACUCCCUUAUACGGAGGCCUUGAUUCUGAUGCACAACAUUGAUGUCAUGCACCAAGAGCGGAAUGUUGCUGAAAGCAUUAUUAGUACAUGUAUGGAUUUUCCCGAUAAAACCAAAGAUAAUAUAAAGGCCAGAAAAGAUUUAGAGAAAAUUUGUAACCGACCAAGCCUGGUCUUGCUUCAGAGUGGUGCUAAGCCACGUGCGUCAUUUUGUCUAAAAUCUAAGCAAAAGAAAGAGGUGAUGGUGUGGUUGAAAAACUUAAAAUUUCCAGAUGGGUAUGCCGCGGGAUUCAGAAGGUCCGUGAAUUUGAGGACAGGAAAAAUGAAUGGAUUGAAGAGUCAUGAUUAUCACAUUAUUAUGGAAAGAUUACUUCCUGUAAUGUUUCGGGGUUACUUGAAUAAUGAUGUGUGGACGGCGUUAGCUGAGUUAAGCUACUUCUAUAGACAACUUUGUAGUAAAGAAAUUAAAAAAGAUGUGAUGGAGAAAUUAGAGAAGGAGAUUCCGGUCCUUAUUUGCAUAUUGGAAAAAAUAUUUCCCCCUGGAUUCUUCAAUCCGAUGCAACAUCUACUUGUACACCUUCCAUAUGAAGCUAAGAUUGGGGGUCCUGUGCAGUAUAGAUGGAUGUAUCACAUAGAAAGGACACUUAAGAAGCUUAGUGCAAUGGUUGGCAACAAGGGAAGAGUUGAAGGGUGUAUUGCUGAAGAAUUUAAAUAUAAAGAGAUAUCAGCCUUCACGAGUGUAUACUUUGCAGAAGAACACAAUGUAAAUGCACCUACAUUAAGGUAUAAUGUUGAUCAAGCUGGUCCAUGCAGUAAACUCAAAAUUUUGUCAUUCGAGGGAAAGACAGUUGGAGCAUCAACUGAAUAUCACAUUGGACGUGAAGAAAAGUUGGAUGCAUUACUCUACAUGUAUGAAAACAUGGAAGAGAUGACUCCAUACUUCAAGUAAGCAUAGAUUUUCAAAAUUGAAGAGCAACAUGUGCUCAUUACUCCUCGUAACUCUUUUAUUUACUUUUUUUUCAACAGAGAGUACGAACGACAGAAUAAGGGUAAACUGUCGACGAGGCUGUAUGAAAUCAUGCUUCGCGAAGGAAAAGAAGGCACUCCCAAUUUCAUUAAUUGGUUUCGAGUUCAUGUAAAUAUCACAUCCGUUUUCUUAUGUGUUCAUAUAGUUUAUAUUUUUAAUAGUUCCUCCUAUUGAUCUAUAUUCGUAACUGACAGUGCGAAAAAACUUCCAACGUUGACGAGGACUUACGUCAGAUGUCACGUGCACUUGUCAAAGUCAGAAGCUAUGGUCGUUAUGAUGUCAAGGGAUAUCGUUUUCGUUCAACCAAAUUUGAAUGUACUCGACCGUUAGCUGCGACAACAAAUACUGGUGUGGUAUGUUGGUCUUUUGAUGAGCAAGGAAGGGAGAUGAAUUAUUAUGGAACUAUCAAAGAUAUAUUGGAAUUCGACUUCGCUGGGGGGAAAAAUCUGAAAGUUAUGUUCUUCAAAUGUGAUUGGAUCGAUCCUAAACAUGGGAUACGACAAAACCAAUUUGGUAUGGUAGAAGUCAAACACGAGCGUAUAAUGACUCGUGGUUGUAGUAAAUUUGUUCUUGGUUUUCAAGUGGACCAAGUGUAUUAUAUGUCAUAUCCCUGUAUCGAUCUUAAAGACUGGUGGGUAGUGUACAACGUAAAUCCCCGUGAAAGAUUAUAUUUAAAGGGUGAUACAAGUUAUCGACAAAAUGAGGUGGAAGCUGAUGUUGAAGAAAUUUAUCAAGAAAUUGAAGUUCCACCCGUUUUUAAUAUAGAAACAACAAUGGAGCCAGAUUCAGUAGCGGGCGAUCUUAAUGAUGUAAUAGUUCCUCCAAAAAGGAAACGAAAGUCGAAGAAGAAAAAGACGCCCGAGAGAAAGUCGACGCGCUUGAGAAGACAACAAAUUAAUCCUGAUUUCGAAUAUGAUUAAGAAGUAAAUAUUUAUUUUGAUGAAUUAUUGUUAUACUAUGUUGUUAUCUCUUUAUUGUUAUACUAAUAUAAUUUUCAUUAUGCAGGAUGGCGGCUCGAAAGUUGAAGAAUUUUGUGAAGGGCAUGACGAAGGGCUCUUCUUCUUCAGGAAGAAGCAAAGCACAGGAGUGUCUGUUCCAGGGUACCGAGUCGCUCUCGAGCAACAGACGACAGGCUUUGAUGGAACAUCUUCCACCUGAUAUGCAUGGACAGGUGUGAUUACUCUAAAUUAUUAUUUUAUUUCAAUAUAGUAAUGUUUAUAUGAAUCUAAUGAUUAAAGUGUUUCAUGUGCAGGAUGUUAACGAGACUCGAGAGGAGGAGGCGAGGGGUGAGGAUGCGGCCGAUUAUGAUGCAGCCGAUGCAGACUAUGAGCAGGAAGAUGAUGCUGGAGGUGGAGGUGGAGAUGGGUGGUCUUCCGGUGGUGGUCAGUUUGAGGGUGGAUGGUCAACAGGCGGAUGGGACUCAUGGCCUAGCAGUGAUGCUGGAGCUUCUAGUGGUGGAGGGUCUUCUCGGGCACGGAAGUCGAGGAAAACACAUUGGGUGCCUCCUCCUAAAGUUCCUGCUCGUGAGGAGGAUAAGAUUUUGAUCGUACCGUGUGGCGACGAGUGAGUUGAUUCUAAUGUUAAAUAUUUGUUCAUGCAUUAUAUGAAAUUUGUUAAUGCUUCUUUUGUACAAUGUGGUUGCAGGUCUUGGAUUGAUGCAUCUUUUCAAGGUCAAGGACGUCGCACACAGGUGAAUAAAGUUUUGGGAAGUAUAUGCAAAUAUCUCUGGCCUGGUGUAGUGAUGGAGAAAGGCGUUGAGGUGCCUUGUAUGUCUUGGGAUCAGUACGGGCUCGCGUUCAAUGCAGAACAUAGGAAUGCCCAAGGUGCUGUGUGGCAUGAGUUCUGGGUAUGUUCUCUAGCCCAACUUGAAUUGAUUCAACUAUACAAUGUGCUAAAAAUCUUGUUUCUUGUUUUUUUUCAGAAACGUUACAAGUUGCCUGAAGAUGGAAGUAUGAACGAUCGUGCACGGAUCGUUUUUAACAAGAGCGCGACUACCUUGGUUAGGGAUCAGAUGUAUUAUGCUCGGAUCCAGGUCACUUCUGAUUACAUAUUAAGGCAGGAAGGACGUCGGCCACGUUCCAAAAGUGAGGCAUCAAACAAAUACUUAACCGAAGAAGAAUAUCUUGAGGUAAAUUGUUUUUAUCCUAAUUCAUGUCCAAGUGUUAGUACUAACAAUACAUUGGAUCGAAAUAAAGUUUUCAGACUCGGUGCCAUGGAUGGCAUCAAAUGAGGCUGGUUGGCGGGCUAUAUGCAAAUAUUGGGCAACAGAUGGAUUUAAAGGUGUUUCAUUGAGAAACAGCUCAAAUCGUGGGCAUGAUGUUCACCACAGAUAUGGUGGUGAUGGCCACGUUCGUUUGGCAAAGCGCAUGGUAAGUGUAAUUUAUGGUCGUGUAUAUCAUGAAUCUUCUAUGUGUUUUAUGUUAUUUUCUUUUGCCUGUAGGAAGCUAGUUCUGGUGUUACGCCGAGUGAUGUUCAGGUUUACCUUAGAGGUCACAGGGGGUCGGAUCCUACAAAUCCAGAACAGUUGUGUUCUCAGUCAGCUGCUGAGCGUGUGGUGAGACUUUCGCAACUAGUUAUAAUGCACUUCUAUUCUAAGAGUCGAGAAAAAUAUAACUGCAUUGUUUAUUAUUUGUCAGGCCUCAUAUGGUGCUUCCAUGAUGUCGGAGCAUGGGCAAGACUAUGAUUGGAUGAAUCAGCCUAUCGAUCCUCAGGUUGUGUAUGCUAGUGGAGGCGGAAAACCUCAUGGACGGUGAGUUUGCUAUUAUGAAUUCGUCGAUUUGAUCUUUUCUAACAUGAUGUGUUGCGUGUUUAACUUCUUUCUAUUUUUUUGUAGUUACCCUAUGUUUGGUAGUGUUAUCGACUCGACUCAGGUGAGGCCUGAAAGGUCUCGCCCAUCGAGGUCGUCUAGCCGUGGUCCUCGCUCUAGUACCCAAGGAAACGCCGAGCUGAUCCGGGUGCAGGAAGCUUUGAGGCGGCAGGAGGAGUAUAACAAGCAACAACAAGAGUACUGGGCUGCUCAAUUUGCACGACAGCAGGAGAUGAUGCAGGUAAUUAGAUCCUCGUGAGCCUCUACUAUAAUUGGAGCACAUAUUUUGUAAUAUAUCCUCGUAACAUAGCUUUCAAUUUCUUUCAGCAAAUAGCACUAGGGCAACGUCCAGAUUUUUCAGCGAUGACUAUGCCACCUCCUCCACCUAUCCCGCAGUUUGUACCGACUCCACAAUUUAGUUGGCCCACACCUGUACCUCAGGUUAUAUUACUUGACCUUUUCUUUUGACGUUGCAUAACAAGAAUUUAACUACUAACACAUUUUUUUGAAUGUUGUAGGUCCCUCCAGGAAACUUGCUAACUCCGGGAAAUGAGGACUCUGGAGAUGCGGUCGCUUCUUUUGUGGACGGUCUUCUAAACAGCGGAGGAGCUAGCGGAUCAAAUCAACCUCAUCCAUUUGAUCAACCUCCUCCAUUUGAGUAGCCUGUCUCCUUGUGUUUUUCUCGUACUAUGGACUUGUGAGCUUGUGGUAUUGGGAACUUGUGAACUUGUGGUAUUGGGAACUUGUGAACUUGUGAACUUGUGCUUUAAUUUGUGGACGGGUGGACAUUUUGUGAAUUUAACUGUGUGUUUCAUGUGAAACGAUGAAUUAUGGAUAUUUGUGGUAUUGUAUGUGAUUCUGGAUGAAUUAUUGAAAACUGGAUAUUGUGUGCAGAUUGAAUUUGUAUUUUGUAUGAUUGUUUGUAAAACAAAAGCAGGAAAAUCCUGUUUCUCUGUUUUUUAAUUACUUCCGACGGCCUCUUAUUUCCGACGGCCCCGUCGGAAAUAAGUUGUGACGGCGUCAGACGCCGGCGGCCGGCCGUCUGCGGGGCCCACCUCGCUUUAUUUCCGACGGCCCCACCCUGGCCGUCGGAAAUAAGCAUACUUCCGACGGCCCCGUCGGAAAAGCGGGUACUUCCGACUGGGUAUUCCCUACGGCGUUACUUCCGACGGGACCCGCCUUAAGCCGUCGGAAGUAGUUACUUCCUACGGUUUAGGUUUUACUUCCGACGGUUUAGGCCGUCGGAAACUGGGCGUUUUCCUGUAGUGUUUGUCGAGUGCUUUAGAAAACCUAGUGAAGUUUUAUGGUUUCUAGUGAAAGAUGGCUAGGUUUCUACACAAGUCUAUUCGCUUGCCUUUAAUCCGUACCGGCUUCUACUGCUUCUACAGUGUUUUUGUUUAUAUGGAUUACAGCUGCAACAAUUCAAACAGCCGGCUUUAAUCCGAAACGAACAACAACUUCACGAAACACUAUCAAAUAUUUAUCAGUCUCUAAAUAUGAUAUCAUGACAUGUCGACAAGUUUCAUUAGUUUCUGACUUUGUUUGUGUUUUAUACAAUUUUAAAACAACUAGAUCGUAAGUUGGCAGUCAUAUUUUGUGAGAAUGGUAUUCGAAAAUUCGGGUUGGUUCCUGAAAUAGGCCGUAACUUGUGCUAAAUAAUAUGAAUAUCAUUUUGCAUUCACUGUUUUCUAUUUUUCGAGUGAUUUACAGUUCAAAUCUAAAUUAUCCGAAAAAUUCAAUUAAACGAACUAAAUCAGAUAGUUAUAGCAAACACUUUUAUAAUUGUGCCAAAAUUGAACAUAUAGGUCUAUAUACUGUAGGAACACACCAUAAAAAGUUUGGGAAAAAGAAAAAAACAAAUAUACUUUGCCAUGUUUCAAGGAAAGACACUCGACAAAAAGAUAUUUUGCUAAGUGUAAAGGCCUGACACUUGGCAAAGUUAACGGCCGUCAACUCUACACGGCUGCUGAUGGCCCUUUGCCGAGCGUCUUGCUUCGCCGAGAGCUUGACACGUGGCAAAACCUCCUUUGCCGAGAGUAUGCCUAUGCUGAGUGUUUUUCUCUCGGCAAAAUAAGUUUGUACCGAGAGUCCUAGUUCGUCGAGCACUCGGCAAAACGCCGAGCACUCGGCAAAGAGCUGAAUUCCAGUAGUGCGAGGAAUCAUAAUAAGGAGCUGACGUCAUUAUUGUAAAAUAUAAAACAUCAAUGCAAAUUACUUUGCCAUGUCGGUUUUACUAUCAAAACUAAUAUUAUUGUUAAUUUAAUUUAACAUUCCAUGUUAAUGCAUAUCGGUUAUUUUAAAUACACUGAAAAUAAGAUCUUUAAGAGAAAGGUAAUUAUUUGCAACUGUAUAUUACCUCAUUGGUUGUUUGAACGUUGAGAAAGAUAAUUGUUAUAAUCAUUCCACCUUGGCUGUUGCAACGACAAUCACAUCCUUGGUUUUUGUCGAGGAUGAUAUCCAUUGUCAUUGUCGUUGUUGAUGACCAAAUGUACGUCUUCAUGAGUCCCUGGACAGGAAUCUCAAGUGUCCAGGCUCUCCAAAUAUGUAUAAAACAUCCUUGGUUUUGAUAUUUGUAUAAAACAUUCCAUGGUUAAUUUAAGUCGGCACAAAUUUAGUUAUAGAAAACUGUUGCUUCUUAAACUUUUCCAAAUUUAUUUGGUGGUCUUUUGACCUUCUCUCUUCGGCGUACGUACGUGUAACGUCUCCACAGGUAAGUGGACUUAAUUUAUUACAUAGACGUUCAACGUUGUGCUGAAAUAACUUGGACUUCCUAGAACGAAUGGUCUAUGCCCACCGCGGAGCACAUGAGCAGAAAACUUGAGUACUGCAUGGCGCAUGCCCUUGACUGUUGGGUUAGUAUUAUUGGCGACGCCAUCUAAACUGACAAAAAAAAACAUUGGAGUGAGUUCAUUCCUUUCCUGGAAACCUCGUCCGUGUGUGUGUAUAUCUAGAAUACACGAGUCCACACAUUUCACAGCACAUGUGAGGAAGUUUUCUACGAUUGCUUGUAUUUGUGAGUAAUUUUUUUACUACAAUGUUAUUGUUGACUAAUCUAUUUCAUGGCAUGCACGGCCUUCAACCACAACAGCUUCAUCUGUAGUCCGACGUCACAGUGGAAAAUACUCACGGAUUGGUGAUUCCUAGUACACCAAAACGUUUUUCUCUCGUAGUACUAAUUUUCUUCACUGGGAGAUCAUAAUAAGCAGACAAUACUAUUGUAAAAUAUGUGUCCCUAGACAAAAAACCAUCGGUGUAAAUUAUUUUGCACCAGUGCUUUUAACUUAUGAAAACCAAUAUUAUUAAUAGUUGAUUCAUAGCAUCAUAUUAAACUAAGUUGAUGCUUUAUAGGAUAAGAGAAAUCAUUCAAUUUUGCAUUUCCACUAGUAGAAAAGAGCUCAUAGCCUGCGGCACCCAUAAAUUAUCACUGGCGGUUUCAGUUAUCGCGCGCCAGUAAAAAAAUGAGGUGGGCUCGUCUUGGGAACCGCCAGUGGAAACCUAUUUCCACUGGCGGUUAUCUUAAAACAACCGCCAGUGGAAAUAGGAUGUUUCCACUGGCGGUUGUGUUAAGAUAACCGCCAGUGGAAAUCAAUUUUCACUGGCGGUUGGUGUUACACAACCGCCAGUGGAAACAUCCUAUUUCCACUGGCGGUUGUGUUAAGAUAACCGCCAGUGAACUGUCUGUUAUAAAUACCCCUUCUUCCCCCCGACAGUGAACUGUAUGCUCGCAGCCAACUUCCAUUGGAGGCGAUUUUGGAGGUCCAGAUUUCACAAAAAUAUAAGGGGGGAGGUUUUGGUCUUCAUUUCUUGGAAGAAGGUGGAUAAGAAAGGUUGGUUUAUGUUUCUUUGUCAAUUUUUGUUCAUUCUUGCUCAAUUUUAGCCACAUUUUGGAUCUAGGGUUUUACAUGAGAGAGAGAAGAGUAUAGCUAGGUUAUUUUCUCUAUUUCCUCAAAUGAGGUUGUUUAAGAUGGUCGGUUUUUGUCUAUUCCCUCUCCUUUUUCAUGUUUAGUUCUCAAUUAAGUUUAUCCAUAACACAUAUUUAAUUGCUUAAUGAAUGGUGAAUGUGUCGUAUGGAAGGUUGUUUAAUUAUGUUUCAAUUUUAACUACAUUUUGAAACUAGGCUUUCACCAUGUGUUAGAGAUAGGUUUGGGUAUUAAAUUUUUUUGUUUAUUAGUAGUUAGGAAAGUUUGGCUUAUGUUUCUUUUGCCAAAUUUUGUUCAUUUUUCCUCCAUUUUAGGCACAUUUUGGUUGCAGCACUUUGCACAUCCAGAAUGCCCGUUCUUGCACUGAUUUUACACAGAGCAGAGCUUAAUGCUGGAGCCUACCGAUCAAUAUGUACUGUAUAUAUACAUGCAUGGUAAUCUGACUUGCCAUGAAAACUUCGGACUGGAAGGGUAGGCAGCAGAUGUCGCACUCCAGCGCGUCAUUCUCCAUGGAUAGUGUCACAGUCGCCUCUUCCUCAUCCUCCAACCCCACCUCUUCCUCAUCCUCCACCACCACCUUGGCUUUCUUUGGAGUGCCGCCGUAGAGAAGCCCGCCUCUUCCUCAUCGUCCAUAGAGAAGCCGUGGUCUUUUUCCCGGUCAUGGUUUAUCACUUAGAACGCGAGGUAAAAUAAAAGCAGGAAGGACUAUUCGACUAAAAGAGAGGAGAGAGAGAGAGGAUAGAGAGGAGAGAGAGAGAGAGAGGGUUUCACAUUUUAGCCACAUUUUUGGAUAUAGGGUUUCACCAUGUGUUUUAUGUUACUUUUUUACAGGUGAUGAUGGAGAGGAUAUCCUGGAUGUAUAACUUAUCAAGGCUAGAUCCAUCAUACAUAUCUGAGGUCCAUAAGUUUAUUGUUGUCGCUAAGAACCAUGCUUUGAGAACAAAGACAAAGCACAUAUAUUGUCCAUGCAUGGACUGCAAAAAUGCUGUUGUAUUUGAUGACACAAAACAAAUCAUAUCUCAUCUGGUAUGCCGAGGAUUUGUGAAAGAUUACAUAAUUUGGACAAAGCAUGGAGAGGGUAGCUCUUCGCCUUAUACAGCUGGAAACCCUGCAAACAUCGACGACAGCUUUCAGUUCGUUCACGAGACACAACAACCUCUUCCAUAGAGCGAACAUGUAGUGCCAAAUGUUACUGAUCAUGGUUACGCCGGAGGAAAUGAACGUGAAAGAACCCAUGUUCUGCCAAAUGUUAUGGACGAGGAAGAUGCAGAGUUGUUAGAGGCAAUGUUGCGUCGUCAUACAGAUCCAUCGAUGUUCUUCAUGAAAGGUAUGGAGUCCCUAAAGAAGGCAGCAGAAGAGCCUUUGUACGACGAGUCUAAGGGCUGUACCAAAGAGUUCAUGACGCUCCGGUCUGUGUUAAAGUUGUUGAUGUUAAAAGCUAGAUAUGGUAUGUCUGAUGCUGGCUUCGAUGCGUUCUUGAGUAUUGUCGCAGACAUGCUUCCAAAGGAGAACAAAGUGCCUGCUAACACGUACUAUGCAAAGAAACUAAUCAGUCCACUCACUAUGGGCGUGGAGAAGAUCCACGCGUGUAGAAAUCACUGUAUCCUUUAUCGAGGUGAUGAUUAUAAAGACUUAGAGAGCUGCCCAAAGUGUGGUGCAAGUAGGUACAAGACGAAUAAAGAUUAUCGAGAGGAAGAGUGUGUUGCCUCUGUGUCUAAAGGGAAGAAGCGAAAGAAAGCCAAAAAGAAGACUUCAAAAUCCACGAGCAAAGAAAAAGAAGUAGACUAUUAUGCACUCAAAAAGAUUCCUACUUUGGUGAUGUGGUACCUCCCCGUCGUCGAUCGAUUGAGGUGUUUGUUCGCUAACCCUGAGGAUGCCAAACUUAUGAGUUGGCAUGCUUCUAAUGAGCACAAAAACGAUGGGAAGCUUCGACAUCCAGUCGAUGGGAAGCAGUGGCAAGAUUUCAAUGAGAACCACCGAGACUUUGCCGAUGAACCAAGAAAUGUUAGGUUCGCACUGAGUACUGAUGGAAUGAAUCCAUUUGCUGAAAGGAGCAGCAAGCAUAGCACAUGGCCAGUGAUCCUCACCAUAUACAACCUUCCUUCAUGGUUGAUGCAUAAACGGAAGUACAUUUUGCUAACCAUGCUUAUUUCUGGACCUACACAACCUGGAGUUGAUAUAGAUGUAUUUUUAGAGCCCUUAAUGGAGGAUAUGAAAAUAUUGUGGGUAACGGGUGUUCAAAUGUUGGAUGAGUAUCGUAAAGAUUCAUUCACGCUGAGAGCAAUUAUUUUUGUUACGAUCAACGAUUACCCUGCACUCUUCACAUUAUCAGGCCAGUUUAAGGGAAAGGUUGGCUGCACAGUAUGCAUUGAUGAAACUGCUUACGUGUCCCUUACUGCAUCUAAGAAGAUAGUGUACAUGAGGCACAGACGCUUUUUAUUGGAAGGACACAGGUACCGCAUGCGAAAGAUGGAUAAGUACUUUGACAAUAAUGGUGAACUACAUUCUACUGCUCCAUCGGGUAACAAUAAAGGUCAUAGAGUUUUUGAAAUAGUCAAGAAUAUCAAGUUUGUUUUCGGGAAGAAGACAAAAGACGGAAAAACAAGGAAAGAUGUCAAACCAGCUCCGGGGGCUAUAUUCAAGAAAAAGUCUAUUUUCUUCGAGUACUUGCCUUACUGGAAAGAGUUAGAUGUGCGGCAUGCGAUCGAUGGUAUGCACGUUCAGAAGAACGUGUUUGAAAGCAUAAUUGGCACCUUGCUAGACAUAAAGGGCAAAACAAAAGAAGGGCUCAAUUCACGCAUGGACUUGGUAAAUUUAGGCAUAAAAAAGGAACUACAUCCUGUUCUUCAAGAAAAUGGGAAGUAUCAUCUCCCAGCAGCAAGCUACAAUCUCAAUGUAGAUGAGAAACAUGCGAUGUGUGUUUGGCUUAAGAAUUUGAAAGUCCCAUCCGGAUUCUGUUCUAGCAUACGAAGUAUUGUGUCAAUGAAAGACCUGAUAGUCACCAACUACAACUCACAUGAUUGUCAUGUCAUGCUGACUACAUUCCUACCUAUUGCCAUCAGGGCUAUAAAUCCUUUGUUUUUAAAGAUGGCAAUCACACGGUUGUGCUACUUUUUCAACAGAAUUUCACAAAAGGUAAUUGACCGUGAUGAGUUGGCAUCUCUUCAGGAAUUCGCAGUGGAGACAAUAACACAGUUUGAGAUGUGUUUCCCUCCAUCGUUCUUUGAUAUUAUGGUGCACCUUGUGGUGCACUUGGUGCCACAAAUAGAGGCAUUGGGUCCUAUGUACUUACAUGAAAUGUGGACGUACGAGUGUUUCAUGUCAAUACUGAAUGGCUAUGUAUUAACCCGUGCUCGUCCCAAGGCAUCCAUGAUAGAGGGGUACUGUACUGAAGAGGCCAUUGAGUCGGGAGGUCCAUUCUGCAAUAAUAUCCUAAAAGAUCAGGUUGCAAUAGGUCUGCCUCCGUCACGACACGAGGGUAGAUUGUAUAGAAGCGGGAGGAUGGGAUGGAAAUCUUUCAUUUCACCAGAUUACAAUACAGUACUUGAGGCACAUCACAGCAUCCUACAUCAGCUAGCGAUAAUAGAGCCAUUUAUCCAACAACACAUCAAUGAGCUUCACGAGCAAAAUCCUGGGCAUACGGCUGAUUGGGUAAUGAAGCAACAUAAGCAGCGGUUCAACACAUGGCUAAUGGUGAAGGACAUUCCACGUGGAGAAACAAUAGAAGAAAAAACCAUCAAGGGGUUGGCAUCUGGACCUUCACGCCAGGUCACAACAUGGCAAACCUAUGACAUUAGUGGAUUCACAUUUUGUACAAAGUCCAAGGACAAAAAGAGCAUGUCACAAAACAGUGGUGUUCGAUGCGAGGCCAUAGAUGAUGAAACUGGUGAGAUUAUUACAUAUUUUGGCUUUAUUGAGGACAUAUGGGAACUAGACUAUGGUACAUUUCAUAUAUUGGUUUUCCGAUGUCAAUGGGUUGAAGACAAACAUGUCACGGUAGACAACUAUGGGGUCAGAGUUCUUGAUCUAAGUAAGGUAGGUUACAAAGAUGACCCAUGGAUCCUUGCUAAUCGUGCUGCACAGGUCUUCUAUGCUGAACAGAUCAUUUCUAACAAUGAGAAGAAAAGCACCGACAAACCGAAGCAUGUAGUUUUUCCUGGAAAACAACAAGCUAUAGGAGUUGAUGGUGUAUCUGAUUUAGAGGAUUUUAACCAGUUCAACGACAUGUCUCUUUUCAUAGACCAUCCAACCAAGAUAAGGAACGUUGAGCGAAGCAUCCCACGCAAUUCGAUGCCCUGGGUACGCCACGAUGAACAAGGCAGAACAAUAGCUCCCUAGAUUAUAUAGUUGUCAUGUAAUUGAUUAUUGUUAGGACAUGUCAUGUAAUUUUACACGACUUUCUAGAGAGGAGAGCUAUUGUUGCCAAUGCGCUCGGAGCAGGUCCAGCACUUACCGUCCGUGCGGAUGCAGCACUUUGCACAUCCAGAAUGCCCGUUCUUGCACUGAUUUUACACAGAGCAGAACAUCAUGUUGGAGCCUACCGAUCAAUAUGUAUGCAUGGUAAUCUUACUUGCCAUGAAAACUUCGGACUGGAAGGGUAGGCAGUAGAUGUCGCACUCCAGCGCGUCCUUCUCCACGGAUAGUGUCACAGUCGCCUCUUCCUCAUCCUCCAACCCCGCCUCUUCCUCAUCCUCCACCACCACCUUGGCUUUCUUUGGAGUGCCGCCGUCAGAGGAAGCCAUGGUCUUUUUCCCGGUCAUGGUUUAUCACCUAGAACGCGAGGUAAAAUAAAAGCAGGGAGGACUUGGAGAGAGAGAGGGAGAGGGGAGAGAGAGGAGUUAGGGAAAGGAGAGAGAGAGGAGAGAGAGAGAGGAGAGAGAGAGGAGAGAUAGAGGAGAGAGAGGGGGAAGAGAUAGAGGAGAGAGAGGAGAGAUAGAGGAGAGAUAGAGGAGAGAGAGACAGAGAGGGAGAGGGGAGAGAGAGGAGCUAGGGAGAGGAGAUAGAGAGGAGAGAGACAGAGGAGAGAGAGAGAGGGAAGAGAUAGAGGAGAGAUAGAGGAGAGAGAGAGGAGAGAGAUAGAGGAGAGACAGAGGAGAGAGAGAGAGAGGGAAAAGAUAGAGGAGAGAUAGAGGAGAGAGGGAGAGAGAGAGAGGGAAGAGAUAGAGGAGAGAUAGAGGAGAGAGAUAGAGGAGAGAGAGAGAGAGAGGAGAGACAGAGGAGAGAGAGAGAGAGAGGGAAGAGAUAGAGGAGAGAUAGAGGAGAGAGGGAGAGAGAGAGGAGAGAGGAGAGAUAGAGGAGAGAGGGAGAGAGAGAGGAGAGAGAGAGGAGAGAGGGAGAUAGAGGGGAGAGGGAGAGAGAGAGGAGAGAGAUAGAGGUAAAUAUAUAUAUUAUGUAUAAUAAAUAUAUAUAUAUAUAUAUUUAUAUAUUUAAUAUGUAUAAAAAUAUAUAUAAUUAAUGUAUGAAUAUACAAUAAAAAAUAAUAUACUAAAAACAUUACUACUGGCGGUUCACAACGAAAACCGCCAUUAUAAAUAAUUUCUACUGGCGGUUGUCGAUGAAAACCGCCAGUAGAAAUGGCCUCCACAGUCUGUGGAUGACAUUUCUACUGGCGGUUCUCUAUGACAACCGCCAGUAUAAAUGAUUUCUACUGGCGGUUGUCAUAGAGAACCGCCAGUAGAAAUAUCUCCUAUAUAAAGGAGCGCGCGCGGGGCCGAAAAAUUUUCGCUAAGUUUGGCGCCCUGUCUUUCCAUCUUCCCGCCGUCAGGCUACCAAAAAUUCGCCCGGCGAUUUUCUCCGCCGUGCGCCGCCGUCGUUCACGCCGUCGUCCCCACGCCGUAGGUAUGUUCUUCUCUCUCUCUCUCCCUUUCUUCGACUAUAGCUCGGGCAUGUGCGCCGCCGCCGCCGCCGUGCAAGCGCCGCCGCCAUGCAGAGAGAGAGAGAGAGAGGGAGAGAAGUUAGAGGGAAGAGAGAGGAGGAAGAGGGAAGAGAGGGAGACCCUGCGCGCGUCUCUGCAGAGAGAGAGAGUGAGAGGGAGAGAAGAUAGAGGAGGGAGAGGGAAGAGAGAGGAGAUGACCUCUCCCUCCUCUCUCUUCUCUCUCUCUCCCUCCCUCCACUCUCUUUCCCUCUCUCUCCGGAGAGAGACGGAAAGAGAAGAGAGAGGAAAGAGAGUGGAGGGAGGGAGAGAGAGAAGAGAGAGGAGGGAGAGGGAGUGUAUAUAUAGGAAAGAGAGUGUAAGGGGAGAGAGAGAGGAGAGAUGGGGAAAGGGAAGAGAGAGGAAAGAGAGGGAGAGGGAGGGAGGGAAGAGAGAGGAAAGGGAGGGAGAUUAGAGAGAGAGAGAGAGGAGAGAGCAACGGAAAGCAUGUUUUUUUCCAUCGUAUUCAAUUGUAAACAACAUAUUCUAUUGUAUUCUAUUGUAAACAACGUAUUUCAUUGUAAACAACGUAUUACAUUGUAAAAUGUAGACUAGAUUCACUAGUAAACUACGUAUUCCAUUGUAGUACUAUUAGCUAGUGAAAUUAGAAGACGACGUACGACACACUUGCGUUGUUUCGAUUAAGAGCAACUCAUCUGAACCCCACUUGACCAGAGCGAGUUCUCUCUCCCUCUCUCUCUAUACGUUCUAUACGACUCUCCAUCUCCCUCUCUCCCUCUCUAUACGUCCUAUACGACUCCUCCUCUCUCCCUCUCUCUCUCUAUACGUUCUAUACGACUCCUCCUCUCUCUCUCUCUAUACGUUCUAUACGACUCUAUACGUCCUAUACGACUCCUCCUCUCUCCCUCUCUCUCUUUAUACGUUCUAUACGACUCUCCAUCUCCCUCUCUCCCUCUCUAUAUGUCCUAUACGACUCCUCUCUCCCUCUCUCUCUCUAUACGUUCUAUACGACUCCUCCUCGAUAAGGGUUAGGGUAUUUGUUAAUACGAAUUUAAUUAUUGCUUAUGUUAAUAUGUAGCUCAAUGAGUUCUCCAACCAAGGACCAAGGAUUAGGGCCCGACCACAUGGACAAGAGUGUUGCUCAAGAAGAAUCCAGCAGUGAAGGAUAUGAAACGCCUAGCGACCCUUUUCCUACCACUAGGAUAGAUAGGGCCGCUGCGCGUGAGUUGCAACGUGACCCUACUUAUGAUCCACAAGAACAUGAGGUAAAUUACACAUCCUUAAUUUCGUGUGUGUACCUAAUUAAUUAGCUGAUUUCACAAUGUCUAUUACACAUGCAUGAUUUCUUGUGCAUUUUAUUACAUGAAUAGGAGGUCUUGUCUGAAUUUCGUGCGAUGCUCGAAAAAGCUGCGGCACAAUACCAAGACGCACCGGAACCGAUCCAAGGCGCACCGGAACCGACCCAAGGCGCACCGGAAUCGACCGAGACAACCACCGAGAGGUCAAGGAAAAGGAAGCAGAGCGAUCGGAACAGAGGUGACAGGGGGCUAAACAAGUUUACUAACAAGACAUAUAAAAUCACAAACGUGAGCUCGAAUGGUCAGCCCCUAGCUCCAGAAGAGGCACUGCCUAAGUUUCGGAAUGCACUUGGGUUCUUAGUUAGAGAUAAUCUUGACAUCACAAUCCGACAGUGGAGAGAUAUAUCAGAUGAUGUCAAGAAUCAAAUGUGGAAUAAGCUAGUAACGAGGUUCGUUUUGCCUGGGGGUUCAGAAGAACUCGUGAAAAAAUACACGAUGAAGCAGUUUGCAAUAAAUUUCCGAAACUGGAGGUCUGAGAUGAAUACAAAGUUUGCAAAGAAAGGCCUAGACCCGACGAAAAAAUAUAAAAUCUCAGCAGGUCAGUGGGCAGUAUUUCUAGAGCAGAGGAGCAGCCCUGAUUUCAUAUCGCUAAGUGAGGCAAAUUCAGAACUGUCUAAGAAGAACAAAUACCGCCACCACCUUGGCACAGGUGGUUACAAGCGUUAGGUUCCUAAAUGGAGACAAGAAGACGCGGAGAAGAAGGCUGCAGGGUUGCCAACGCUGUCUGAGCAACUCGGUGAAAGGACAGCUAAUUGGAUCCGUGCUAGAAAACCAAGGGAAACUGAGUCUGGUGUAUCUUUUGAUGAUCCCAAUGUCGAAGAAGCGGCAAAAAACAUAUAUGCAAUUGCAGCUAAGCAGAGCGAAGGAACAUUUAAGCCGCAAAGGGAGAAAGACAUUCUAACGGCUGGUCUCGGUAACCCUGAGCAUCCUGGUCGUGUACGAGGAAUAUCAUCUAAGGAAGGAUGGAAGGAAGGAUUCGGACCACAAUGGGAAGGUCUAUACAAGAAACGUGAUCGAUACAAGGAAGAGAUGGCAAAUUAUUUUAAGGAGGAGGCCAAGAAAGAGUUCAAAGACCUGAUGUCUGAAAUGCUAUCGAAUCCUCCUCUAGAAUUGAUGCAGCAAUUGGCGAUGGCGAGUGCGAUGUCUGUUCAACAAAUGACCACUCCACAGAUGCAAAUAAUUCCAGCAGCUCAAACGCCGGCUGCCACCGAGGGUACGACCAUCCCAAGCUCUGUCGCGUCAACGGGAAAUAAGGUCCGCUAUCCAGUUGAUGACAUCACAAGGCCUGUGGCAUGCACACUAGUUAUAAGAUAUGGUAUUAACAAUCAGCGUACAAGGAAAGUAGCCACAGGCCUUGCGAUCCCAGGACGCAAGUUCCAUGGAAACGACAUUCCAGAAGAAUAUUGCAGGGUAGAAGUGACGACAGUCAUCCAAGGAUACGAGGACGGCAUGCUAGACAUCCCUGGGCCCGAAGGUAUCGAGACACUUGGACAAGCUAUCAAGAAUUUUAUCCUUUGGCCUCGAAGGGAUGUCGAAUUGCUUGAUUGGUCGAAUUCGUCGCAGGCCCAACCGUCUCCGCCUUCUCAAAUUUCUGUUCCUAUUGCACAUCCAUCAUCACCUCCUCAAACUUCACAUGCUGCUCCUCAUCCUCUUUCUGACCCUCCUUCUCCUCAUCCUCAUGGUGGCCCACCGUCUCCGCCACAUACAUCGCCCUUCAGGGAUCCACCUUCUCCACAGCCAUCUCCACGACCAUCUAAAGUUUCUAUACCAAAAGUAGUGUCCCCUUAUAAGAAAAAGAAGAGUAAAUCCACUGCUGGCACUGUUCGUUUUUUGAAAGGGAUUGGACGGAGCCUCACGUCAGACAAUGUUGAUUUGGCCGAUCUCGAGGAGUCCGCAAAAAAGGCUGAGGCAAUGGCCGCAAAGAUAAAGAAGCCAACUAAGGCAGAUUAUAAAAACGUGCCUAAAAAAUAUGUGUCGGGCAGACCACUACUCACUUUUGAGAAACUAAAGAAGGUCCUGGCUAAUAAUAAAAGGUUGCAUGAUUGGUACAUGCGGGCAUCUUCAGUUGGCAUCGACACCAUCAGUGUUAAUAUAACAGCCCAUGCUUUUAUUGGUUCAAAUCAAAAAGCCGUUGUUACAUUCGAGGACAUGUGGUUAAUGAUGAACCUUCAGAGACUCUACGUGCAACUUGUAACCAUAUUUGCAUUGUAAGUGUCACUCAUACUCCAUAUAUAUGUGUUAUUAUUAGUGAGUUGUAUAAAUUUUCAAUAUCUGACAUGCACGUGUGCGUUGCAGAAUGCAACAUGAUCAGCAGGAGAUCCUUUAUGGUACCAAUCCCAAUGCUAGUGCCAGUAAAAGGGUUGGGUAUCUCAACCCAAUAAAGAUAUGCGAGGAUAACCACACUUUUAGAAUCGGAAAAGGCAACGAAGCAUUACAGGGGCUAACAGACGAAGAAAUUGAGGUGCGUAUCCAGGAUCUGAAGAAGGAUUUUGAAGCAAGAUACGCCACCUACAUAGGACACGCAAUGCUUCAAUUUCAAGACAGGGAAUCCAUAGUGGCCCCGUACAACUAUAAGUAAGUGUGAUUUUGCAUAAAUAAAAUUAAUAAUUUCAAUACACAUGUAUCACAAGUUUGAUUCGUACAGGGACCACUGGAUAUGCUUCUUCAUUUAUCCUAAGGUUGGAAAGGUGCUGGUGCUCGACUCCUUGCACACCGAGCCUUCGGCCUAUUCAAAAUUCCUUAGCAUCUUAGAGCUGUAAGCCUUUUCUAUGCAUGCAUACUUAUAUCGAUGAGAAUUGUAGAAUAACAUGGUGAUUCUAUUUGAGAUCACAGGGCAUUUAGGUUUUAUAAGUUUCAAGGUGGAAAGUACGACACGUCCAAAAAAGGCGUGCCACUAGACAUCCAUUAUAACUGGCCGAUAAGUAUGUGAAUUUAUGAAUACAUAUCAUACAUGUACGUACAUAGGACAAUCUUGCAACUAAAUAACCAAUCUCCCGUUAUGUAGUGCCACAAGCAACCACCCGGAUCGGUCCUAUGUGGGUUCUACGUGUGCGAGUUCAUGAGAAUGAACGGACGAUACAUCACGAACCCUGGCAAGGUAUUAUUAGUAAUAGUCACGUAUGUAUUUAUGUCAUUAAAGAUGCAAAUGUGUUAUUAUUGAGUAUAAAUAGAUGAUGUUUAUAAACUUCCUUUACAGCAAUUUCAACAAGGAAGCCCGGAGAACUUGACUGAAGGUGCAUUGUAUGACAUAGUUGAGGACCUGUGCACAUUCAUAUUGAAAGAGGUCAUUCCCGCAGAAGGGAAAUAUCACGAUGCUUCCGGAACAUUAGCUUUGCCAGAGUUUAGAAUACUAACAGAAAUUAGUAGACUAUCUCUUAGCCGAGAUAGUUAUUAGAGCUUAAGUGAAAACUUUGAUGUAUAUAAUGUGUGAUGCAUACAUGGUUGUAAACAAGACUUUGAUGUAUAUAAAUGUAUGAUAGAAUUUAAUUCCAUGUUGCUUUUAAUAUCAAUAUAUAUAUAUAUAUGUUUUGUGUGUGUAAAUAUAUAUAAAUUUAAAAAAAGGCGGGAAAACUUUCCACUGGCGGCUAAAUAAAAAAAACCGCCAGUGAAAAUAGAAUUUCCACUGGCGGUUCUAGAAUAACCGCCAGUGGAAAUGACGAUUUCCACUGGCCCCUAGCACUGGCGGCACUGAAAAGCGCCAGUGAAAACGUCUCUAGAACCGCCACUAUAGAGGCUGUGUGUACUAGUGUUCUGUUGUUCAACAUUUUAUUCAUUUGUUUAUAACCUUUUUCUUAAUGUUAUAGGAUAAUUUCUCCUUCAAAAUUUUCUGCGCCUACGAAGCUUCUUGUUUAGUAGUGCUUCAGUAGCUAGCUUUGGUUGAGCUAUUUUUUAGAAAAAACUCUUUGCCUUGGUCAGAUGGCCAGAAUCUGUGCCACCACGAAGCUGAUCACUCCUACCUCCUCAGAGGCACAACAAGAUGUCAUGCCUAUUUCUACGUCAAUGAGGGCCUCAUCGACAUCAAGAGCUACUGCAGAAUUGCCGAAUGAUAGACCUUCGAAGCUAAGCUAUAUCGAUAUUGGCCGAUCCACUUUGAAGGAGAACGAUUUACAGUCUAUGAGGAGACUUGGCUCUUUCAGUAGCAAGGUGAAUGUACACCUUCCUGGGGAAGAGACAACGAGGAAGCCGAGAAAAGACGAAGUUGUGCUUAUAAAAUUUUUUUCAAGGUGGGACUUCGACUUCGCAUGUUUAAUAUGAUUGCGAAGGUAUUGCAGCGAUAUGAAGUGUUUAUGCAUCAAUUGACUCCAAAUGCCAUGGUUCGGCUUAGUGUUUUCAUCUUGGCCAUACGAAGCCAGGGGGCAUACCGACGCUGAUGCGUUUUGCAAGGUUCAUGAUUUUCAUUACCAGACGAAGGCAAGGCAUGAAUCAGGCCUUCACAAUAACUUUGAGUGUUACAACUUCGCUUAUCGCAAACACAACAGCACUAUGCACCAUUUUCGGCGGCCAAGCUUAUUUUCGGCGGCCAAGGCUUGGCCGGCGGAAAUAAGGUGCUAUUUUCGGCGGCUGACGCUAGCCCCCGAAAAUAAGGUUAUUUUCGGCGGUCACUGACACAGCCGUCGAAAAUAAGGUUAUUUUCGGCGGCCACUGACACAGCCGUCGAAAAUAGCACCUUAUUUUCGGCGGCCAAGCCCUGGCCGCCGAAAAUUAAGCUUUUAAAACGACCGACUGAAUCCUUCUUUCUCUGUUUCUUCCUUUUUCUCUAUCUCACGCGAUCGACCGCCGCCCGCAGCACCCGCGCCGCUGCUCCCUGGGCCGCCCAGCUCCCGCGCCGCAAGCCGCGCGGAGCACCCACGCCGCUGCUCUCCGGCCGCCCCCGCGCCACCCAGCGCCCCCAGCGUCGCCCGCCCGCCCCCGCCCAGCGCCGGCCGCCUGUGCCGCCCCGAGCCGCCACCGUCGUCCGCCGCCGUUCUAAGCUUCCGUCGAUCAGCCGUGGCCAAGCCCUCCUCGUGCAACCACUCCGCCGUCGUCGCCAAGCUCUUCCCCAUCGAAAGGUAUUUUUUGCGUUUUUUAUUCCAUAUUUUCGGCGGCCGUUAUUUAAUUGCCACCGAAAUUAGUAUGUAUUUGUAAUUGUGUUUGUUUGAUUAGUGUGUGUGAUUAUUAUUAUUGUUUAGUUCGAUUUUAUUAAUGUAUUAGUGGUAUAUGUGGUUUAGGGAUUAUGGGUAUAUUGUAUUUAGGCAUUAAUUUCAUAUUAAUAUGUGGUACCAUCGACGCUGAAGUUGUUCAUUCUAUUGGAGGAAAGGCGCAUGGACGAUAUUAACUUGUGAAUUUUUUCAAUAAUAUUGGAACUAUGACCGAAUAGCUAAUUUUCUUAUUUUCAAGAUAUUCUAUGUUUACCGGUGUGAUCGAUUCGACGGAAUUGCGUUCUCGUGGCGGCUCUUCGUCGCAGGCAGGUUGUGGUAGUAGCAGCCGUAGUCGGAGCUAUGUACUAGCAUGGAGGACGCUAUGAGCGAGCAGCAAGAAAGGUUUCGUGAAGAGUUGUGGCAACAACAAAUAACAUUCCUCCAACAGCAAUUAGAGUACAUGGCUGCUUACAACGCACAGGCGCAACAAGCAAUGAAUGUGAGUGUCUUAUUUAUUCUCAACACGGUCGAUAUUGGUCUUAUAAUUAAUAUAUUGUAUUUGCAACGGUUUUGAUUUGCAAAGCAGGCACAACAGCAAUCAUUUGUUUUCCCUCAAUUUUAGUCGUCGAUGCCUCAGUGGGGAUUACAUGCUCCGCCACCUCCACCUCAGGUGCUUCAAUUUAGUUAAGACUUGUCGUUUGUAUUAACCUUUUAAAUCUUGACUAAACUUGAUUUUGUAGGGAUCCGGGGUCAUCGGCCACAACAUGCCACCACCGGUGAUACCAGCACCAGGAGGAGCUUAUGCAGGGGAGGGAGCUACUACAGGAGAGGUUAGUUUUAAAAACAAUUUGUUUGAAUAGUGGUCAUGUAAACACUGCCGUUAUUAAUGUCUUCUUUUUUCUUUAGAAUCCAAACCCGUUACACGACUUCGUCAACGAGUUUUUUGCUUAUGAAGGUAGUGGUCACAACUCCAACAACCCCGAUAUGUGAUGGUUUGAGUUUUUCGCUUCUGGAGGGAGUUAUUAUGUUGUAAUGAACUAUUUGUGAACUCUGAUGUUGUAUUUGUGAACUUUGAUGUGGUGAACCAUUUGUGAACUUAAUGUUGGUAAACUACAAUGUGGUUGUGAAGAAGUGUGAUACAAUAUGGUCUAAUGUUUCUGUCAUUUUAUUGUGAUUAUAUUGUUGAUAAAAUUGCUGUUUUUUGCAUUUUUUUUCUCUGAAAAUGUUAAUUUUCGGUGGCCAACUGAGGCCGCCAAAAAUAAGCGGCUACUGUUUUCAGCGGCCGUUGUUUUCGGCGACUAGCUUGUUGGCCGCUGAAAAUAAGCUAUUUUCGGCGGCUGGCACCUGGCCGCCGAAAAUAAAGGCUUAUUUUCGGCUGAUUUUUUUUGGCGGCCAGAAACCACCGAAAAUAAGCCUAAAACUGCCGAAAAUAGCUUAUUUUCGGCGGCAAAGGACUUAUUUUCGGCGGCUUCCGGCCGCCGAAAAUGCCUAUGUCUCUUGUAGUGAAAGAUGCAAGCGGUCCAGUUCUGGCCUACCGAACCAAAUGGCAUGGCGACUGGACAAAAUAAUGGUUCUAUGCCGAAGUUGACUUGGUAGAAGAUUUUCCUUAGAAGGGCCAUGGGGUCAAUGUGUGAUCCACAUAUUUUAGUAUGAAUUUCUCUUAUCAGCUCUUAACCUUCGUCUCUAGAAAUGCAUUUUAGCAUGGGUGAACAGACUCCUUCCUUGUAUAACUCCCCUUCUAUAAUCUUGUACGACCUUGUCCUUGCCUGUAUUCUUUUGAUGUGCAGUUUGUCAUCGGCUAGAUAAUUUCUCCGAAGAAAGGUUAUUAUUUAUGUCCUCCAAUCUUCGCUGUGUGUAGGGGAUACUGUUAAGAUAGCCCUUUCCAUUAGUUCCACUGAAGGCGCCUUCAAUAUUUCAAAGAAUACAUCGGGGGGAAGAGGGAGCCCCUGGGUGGCAAACGUAGCUAACAUAUCGGCAUGCUCAUUGUCCAGCCUCGGGAUAUUUUUUACUAAGAAUCCUUCGAAGGAAGCUUCAAUUCUUCGUACUAUGUCAAGUUACUUUUCUAAAAUUGAAUUCUUUUCCUUGCUUGAUUUGUCUGCUUGGCAUGUGAUAACUUGAGAAUUUUAUUUCAAGAUUGCCCUUCGAACUCCCAUUGCUUUCAACUCUCUCAACCCCAACAAUAAAGCUUCAUACUCUGCUAUAUUAUUUGUACAUUGUAAUUGUAGCUUGGCAGCAUACGAUGUCUUCACCUUAGAUGGUAUUUGUGAGUGAAUUUUACCCUCACAGAUUUGACUACUAUGUUGUCGUUUUCUAAUCCAUUUCAUUGCAUGCACCUCUUUAAUUACAACAACAUCAUUUCUAGUCCGCGUUAACAAUGGAGAAUACUCGGGGAUUGGUUAUUCCUAGUAAAAAACAAUUUUCUCUCAUGGUGUCGAAUUUUUUUCCACGAACACUACCAGCUUUGCCGAGUGUUUUUAGAAAACCUAGUGAAGUUUUAUGAUUUUGUGUGAAAGACGGCUAGGUUUCUAAGCAUGUUCGCUUGGCUUUAAUCCGUACCAACUUCUACUGCUUUUACAGUGUUUUUGUCUGUAUAUGGAUUGCAGCUGCAGCAGUUCAAACAGUCGCUUUAAUCUGAAACGAAUAACAACUUCACGAAACACUAUCAUUUUUUUUAUCAGAGUCUCUACGUAUGAUAUCAUGACAUGUCGAUAAGUUUCAUUAUUUUCUGACUUCAUUUGUGUUUUAUACAAUUUUAAAACAACUCGAUCACAAGUUGGCGAUCAUGUUUUGUGAGAAUGGUAUUCGAAAAUUUAGGUUGGUUCCUGAAAUAGGCCCUAACUUGUGCUAAAUAAUAUGAAUAUCAUUUUUGCAUUUACUGUUUUCUAUUUUUCGAGUAACUUACAGUUCAAUUCUGAAUUAUCCGAAGAAAUUCAAUUAAACGAACUAAAUCUAAUAGUUAUAGAAAACACUUUUAUAAUUGUGCCAAAUUGAACAUAUAGGUCUAUAUACUGUAGAAACACAACACAAAAAGUUUAGGAAAAAGAAAAAACAAAUAUACUUUGGCAAGUUUCAAGGAAAGACACUCGACAAAAAAGAUAUUUUGUCAAGUGUGAAGGCCUGACACUUGACAAAAUUAACGGCCGUCAACUAUAGACGGCUACUAAUGGCCCUUUGCCGAGCGCCUUGCUUCGCCGAGAGCUUGACACGUGGCAAAGCCUCCUUUGCGAGCUUGACACGUGGCAAAGCCUCCUUUGCUGAGAGUCCGUCUAUGCCGAGUGUUUUUCUCUCAACAAAUUAGACAAAUUAGGUUGCACUGAGAGUCUUAGUUCGCCGAGCACUCGACACAGGGUCGAAUUCCGGUAGUGCGAGGAAUCAUAAUAAGGAGCUAACGUCAUUAUUGUAAAAUAUAUGGACCCAGUUAAUUAAAAACAUCAAUGUAAAUUACUUUGCCAUGUCGGGUUUACUAUCAAAACUAAUAUUAUUGUUAAUUUAAUUUAACAUUAAUGUUGACCAACAUUUAGUCAUCGGGAUAUACUCCAACCUUUUGUUAAUGCCUAUCGGUUAUUUUUAAAUACACUGAAAAUAAUAUCUUUAAGAGAAAGGUAAUUAUUUGCAACUGUAUAUUACCUCAUUGGUUGAACGUUGAGAAAGAUAAUUGUUAUAAUCAUUCCUCCACCUUGGCUGUUGCAACGACAAUUACAUCCUUGGUUUUUGUCGAGGAUGAUAUCCAUUGUCAUUGUCGUUGUUGAUGACGAAAUGGACGUCUUCAUGAGUCCCUGGACAGGAAUCUCAAAUGUCCAGGCUCUCCAAAUAUGUAUAAAACAUCCUUGGUUUUGAUAUUUGUAUAAAACAUUCCAUGGUUAAUUUAAGUUUGCACAAAUUCAGUUAUAGAAAACUGUGGCUUUUUAAUUAAAUUUUUCCAAAUUUAUUUGAUGGUCUUUUGACCUUCUCUCUUCGGCGUACGUACGUGUAACAUCUCCACAGAUAAGUGGACUUAAUUUAUUACAUAUAGACGUUCAACGCUGUGCUGAAAAAACUUGGACUUCCUCGAACGAAUGGUCUAUGCCCACCGCGGAGCACAUGAGCAGAAAACUCGAGUACUGCAUGGCGCAUGCCCUUGACUGUUGGGUUAGUACUAUUGGCGACGCCAUCUAAACUGACCAAGCCUUAAAGGGAUAGUCUUGUGAAGAACAGACAAAAAAAACAUUGGAGUGAGUUCAUUCCUUUCCUGGAAACCUCGUCCGUGUGUGUGUAUAUCUAGAAUACACGAGUCCACACAUUUCACAGCACAUGUGAGGAAGUUAGAAACACGAUCUUUUCUACGAUUGCUUGUAUUUCUGAGUAAUUUUUUUACUGCUAUGUUAUUGUUGACUAAUCUAUUUCAUGGCAUGCACGGCCUUCAACCAUAACAGCUUCAUCUGUAGUACUCCGACGUCACAGUGGAAAAUACUCACGGAUUGGUGAUUCCUAGUACACCAAAACGAUUUUCUCUCGUAGUAUCGAUUUUCUUCACUGGGAGAUCAUAAUAAGCAGACAAUUAAUACUAUUGUAAAAUAUGUGGGCCUAGACAAAAAACCAUCAGUGUAAAUUAUUUUGCACCAGCGCUUUUAACUUAUGAAAACCACUAUUAUUAAUAGUUGAUUCAUAGCAUCAUAUUAAACUAAGUUGAUGCUUUAUAGGAUAAGAGAAAUCAUUCAAUUUUGUAUUUCUGUUGUUCAACAUGUUUUCAUUUGUUUAUAACCUUUUUCUUAAUGUUAUAGAUUAAUUUCUCCUUCAAAAUUUCCUGCCCCUCCGAAUCUUCUUGUUCAGUAGUGCUUCGGUUGAGUCAUUUUUUAUAAAAACUCUUCGCCUCGGUCAGAUGGCCAGAAUCCGAACCACCGCGAAGCUGAUCACUCCUACCCCUCAGAGGCACAACAAGAUAUCCUGCCUAUUUCUGAGGCAAUGAGGGCCUCAUCAACAUCAAGAAUUACUGCAUAAUUGCCUAAUGAUAGACCUUCGAAGCCGAGCUAUAUCGAUAUUGGCCGAUCCACUUUGAAGGAGAACGAUUUACAGUCUAUGAGGAGACUUGGCUAUUUCAGCAACAAGGUGAAUGUACGGGUUCCUGGGGAAGAGACAACGCCGAAGCCAAGAAAAGACGAAGUUGUUGUUUAUAUGAGUUUUUUCAAGGAGGGACUUCGACUUCGCAUGUACAAGAUGAUUGUGAAGGUAUUGCAGCGAUACGAAGUGUUUAUGCAUCCAUUGACUCCAAAUGUCAUGGUUCGGCUUAGUGUUUUCAUUUGGGCCGUACGAAGCCAGGGGCAUACCGAUGCUGAUGCGUUUUGCAAGGUUCAUGAUUUUCAUUACCACACAAAGGCAAGGGAUGCAUUAGGCCUUCACAAUAACUUCGAGUGUUACAACUUCGCUUAUCGCAAAGAUACAAGCGGUCCAGUUCUGGCCUACCGAACCAAAUGGCAUGGCGACUGGACAAAAUAAUGGUUCUAUGCCGAAGUUGACUUGGUAGAAGAUUUUCCUUAGAAGGGCCAUGGGGUCAAUGUGUGAUCCACAUAUUUUUAGUAUGAAUUUUUCUUAUCAGCUCUUAACCUUUGUCUCUAGAAAUGCAUUUUAGCAUGGGUGAACGGACUCCUUCCUUGUAUAACUCCACUUCUAUAAUCUUGUACGGCCUUGUCCUUGCCUGCAUUCUUUUGAUGUACAGUUUGUCAUCGGCUAGAUAAUUUCUCCGAAGAAAGGUUAAAAUUUUUGUCCUCCAGUCUUCGCUGUGUAUAGGGGAUACUGUUAAGAUAGCCCUUUCCAUUAGUUCCACUAAAGGUGCCUUCAAUAUUUCAAAGAAUACAUCGGGGGGAAGAGGGAGCCCCUAGGCGGCAGACGUAGCUAACAUAUCGGCAUGCUCAUUGUCCAGCCUCGGGAUAUUUUUUACUAAGAAUCCUUCGAAGGAAGCUUCAAUUCUUUGGACCAUGUCAAGGUACUUUUCUAAAGUUGAAUUCUUUUCCUUGCUUGAUUUGUCUACUUGGCAUGUGAUAACUUGAGAAUUAUAUUUCGAGAUUGCCCUUCGAACUCCCAUUGCUUUCAACUCUCUCAACCCCAACAAUAAAGCUUCAUACUUUGCUAUAUUAUUUGUACAUUGUAAUUGUAGCUUGGCAACGUACGAUGUCUUCACCAUAGAUGGUGACACAAUAAUGGCUGCAUCACCAUCCCCGAAGGACCCCCAUGAGCCAUCACAAAAAACUGACCAUAUGGCUUCAUAUGAAUGGGUUGCUUCGUCCUGUGGGCCUGAGGUCCAAUCAGUAAUAAAAUCUACUAAUGCUUGAUAUUGAUGGAAGACAUGUGAACAAAAUCGAAGAUGAACUCGUUGAGUUCUACUGCCCACAUUCCAAUUCGGUCUGGAGCUUAUCUGUUUCUUAUAAUAACCUUAAGUGGUUGUGACCACGGUACAAUAAUAUUAUGGGACUGGAAAUACUGCCGAAGCUUUCUUGAAGCCAUCAGGACCGCAUAAAGGACCUUCUCCAUCUCUGUGUAAUUUAUUUUGGAUGGGCUCAAUACUUUGGAAACGAAGUAAACAUGCAUCUGCCUUUUUACACCUUUGGUUACCAUCUCUUGGACCAAGGCAUCAUUUACAUUUGUCUACAAAGCUGACACAUAGAGUAAUAAAGAAGCCCCUGGCGAAGGUGCAGAUAGUGUUGUUAGCUUUAUUAGAUAAUCCUUCAAUUCUUUGAAGGCUUGUUGCUGAGGAGGACCCCAAUGAAAAACCUCUGCUGAUUUCAUGCCUUUGAAGAAUGGUGAGCUUCAUUCAGCAGAUCUUGAAAUGAAUCUAUUUAAGGAAGCCAAUGUCCCUGCUAACCACUAAGCCCCUUUAUUUGAUUUAGGUCCAUUGAAAGUAUUGCUUCAAUUUUGCUUGGAUUUGCUUCUGUGCUUUCUUACAAUGAUAUCAUCAACAUAACUUAAGACAUUCCUUCCCUGUUGUGAACUCAGCACUUUGGCCGUCAUUCUACUGAAGCUCCCACCAGCAUUCUUGAGCCCCUCAGGCAUCCAAAGAUAGCAAUAAGUGCCACUAGGGGUUAUGAAGCUGGUCUUUGGCUCAUCUUCCUUUCUCAUCCAUAUUUGAUGGUAACCUGAGUAACAAUCAAGCAGACUCAUGAGCUCCAUAGUUACAGCUACAUCCACUAGUGAUUCAAUUCUUGGUAAUGGGAAUUCAUCCUUCGGGCACGCCUUGUUGAGGUCUGUGAAAUCAAUACACAUUCUCCAUUUACCGUUGCAUUUCUUGACCAUAACGGUAUUAUCCAACCACUCCGGGUAUGCAAGUUCCCUUAUGACUCUAGCACUAAGCAGUCUUUUAACCUCAGCAUUUUCACCUUCGGCCUUGUCUUCGGACAUUUUGCGAAGCUUUUGCUUGCAUGGCCUAACAUCCUUGUUUUGAAACAAAAACCUUUAGAGAUUAGAUUCUUGUUCCGAAGUUAGCUGUUCGCGAAGAAGACUCUGUGCUCUGCCACAUCAUCAUAGAAAAGCACAGGAUUUGGCUGAUCCACCAAAGAUGCCAUUUCUUUUAUUGUUUUUCAGAAUCUUGGAUUUGCGCUUCUUGUUGCCUCUUGGCUGCCAUAAACUGAUAUCACUUCUUGAUUGUUGGGUAUCUUCAUGCAAAGAUAAGCUAAAUGCAGAACUACUUCAAACACAUUGAGAGUUCCUCUUCCGAUGACGACAUUGUAUGGGAAUUCCAUAUCAAUAACAUCAAACAUGACUUCCUAUAUUCUUGUGUUAUUGACAUUGUCGAAGGUAACGAGCAUGAUCAACUUUCCGAGUGCCAUCACCUGCUGUCCUCUGAAGCUACAAAGAGGAAAAGCUGAAUCUCGAAGCUUAUCUUCGGGCUCUUGCAUUUGCCUGAAAGCUUUGACAAAUAUAAUAUCUACAACACUGCCUGUGUCGACCAAAACAUUAUGUACUGCAAAACCUUUGAUUACACGGGAGAUAACCAAAACAUUUUUAUGGUAGGUUCAAAGCUCGAGCCCCUAGUGAUGUGGAGAGUAAGCUUCUCCAAGGAAGUUGGCGAAGCUUGAUGGCUUGCCAUGCUCUUCAUCGUGAUGAAGCUCGUCGUGGUCACGAGAUCAUCAGAGGUGGGCGCCAAUGUUGGAUACUUGAUUUCAAUCCCCUGAAGGCGUUGAGAAUCAAGGCAACACAAGUUAGGAAUGGGAACCUUCGUCCUGAGUUUAACACCUGUUUAGAGUGUUAAUGCGAAGGACGAAGGUCUUCGGGUAGAAAUGUAAAUGGAAAUGAUGUGUAAUGGAACAAUACAGUACAAUGGUGUAUGAGAACCUAUUUCCAAUACAAUCAAUUUACACUUGGUUUGUUAUAAUAUGUGGAGAGCAAAAAUGUAAUGUAUACACAAUUCAGAUAGUGCUGUAGUGGUAGAGACCUACAACUUCAAUUUUGGUGGUUUUUUUAUCCGAGGUCGAUUGAAAAUUUUGAGUUUUAAAAUUUAAACAUAGUUUUGCAUGACAAGAUGAUUUCAAAAAAAUUUGUCAACUACAAAGUUUCAUAACUUUUCAAAACCUACAACUUUUUAUUUUUGUGGUUUUUCAAUCUGUGGUCGUUUGGAAAAUUCAUUUUUUUAAAUUCAAACGUAGAUCCCAUGGACAAGAUAAUUUAAAAUCAAAAGGUUGCCAACUACAAAUUUUUAUAACUUCUCAAGAUACACAAAGUUCAUUUUGAUUGUUUGAUCAAUUGUUCAUCCCACAUGAAAAUCAUGAAACUUCUAUGGAGGCUGACUAGGUUUGUGCACAUCAUACGUGACAACUUUCACAAAACACUGUCAAAUUUUAUCACAAUAUCUACAUAUGAUAUCAUGACAUCUCAACAAGUUUCAUGAUUUUCUGACUUAGUUUGUGUUUUAUACGAUUUUAAAAUGACUGGUUCACAUGUUCACGGUGGUGUUCGAAAUUUCAGCUCUGUUCCUGAAUUAGGUAGUAACUUAUGCUCAAUAACAUGAAUAUCAUUUCUUCAUUCAUUGUUUUCCAUCAUUCGAGUGACUUACAGUUCAAAUUUGAAUUACCCGAAGAAAUUCAAUUAAAUGUACUAAAUCUAAUAGGUAUAGCAAACACUUUGACAAAAGCUCCAAAAUUACAUAUGUUGGUCAAGAGAUUGUAGGAACACACCACAAAAAAUUUGGAAGGGAAAAGAGAAAACAAAUAAACUUUGUCGUGUGCUUUAGGAAGAUACUCGACAAAGACAUUAUUUGUCGAGUGCCAGAUCUCGGGCACUCGGCAAAGGUGUAUGCACAACCUAACCUACCUGGGCCACUUCUUUGCCGAGUGCCUAUGAUGGGGACACUCAUCAAAGAAUUUGUAAAAAAAUAAAAAAAUCUUCACCGAGUGCCAGAUCUCGGGCACUCGGCAAAGAGUUUACACAUAACCCUAAAUCGGCCAUUUUCUCUUCACUUCUUCACGCCGCCGCAUCCCGCUAGUUCAGGCCACCCGAGCGUCGUCGUGCCUGCUCUUUCCACCCCCACUACCACUGUGCUCGCUAACGCGCCCGCGCACCUGACCCGACCAUCCCUCGUCGCCAUAGUGCCCUCGUCCCCACUAUGUUGGCGUCCUCGGUUCCUCAUCCCCAGUUCCUUUUUCCCUGACUCUAGCCAUCCCUGUGCUCCUUCUUCCCUAGCUCCAGCUCCGUCGUCCAUGGCUUCUCGUCCCCGAUACUGGUAUGGAGUAUUCUAUCUUUUCUAGGGAUAUGCAUCUCAAAUUGUUGUUGUCAAAAUUGAUGCAUGGACUUGUAGUUAGAACUUCACAUAUAUAAACAUUAUGGUUAGAAUGAAUGUGUAAAUUGUGUCUUGUUGUCAUACCCGGAUUUAAGGGCAAACCCGAGCGCAAAUCAAAUGUGUGCUAGGAUCAAGUCUCACACAUAUGAUGACUCAUGAUACAGAAACGAAUGUCACAUCUUUACUAUAUAAUAGGAGUUCUAUACAAAAUAAAUAAAUAAUUAUAUCAUACGAAGACAAUGAUCCAGCAACCAUAGUUGACUGAGAGAUGACGGCUAGACCUCUCACGAACUCAUCACGGCAUCCUUCAUGCUCCUUAUCUUUUGGUACCUGUUCUUAACCUGGGGGUAUGUGGGUGAGCUCACAUACGUUCAUCGCUCAACAAGUUGUGGGAAAUAAUGUGCAUGAGCUCACUUACGGUGGAGGCUCAUGUGAAGUGUAAGGCUUAACAAAGAAGAUGGUUAAAGUUGUGCAUUGCUUUUAGAGUUGGUCAAAAUUUUAUUAGCAGUUACUAAGUGUAAGUAGAUACCAACUCAAUUAAAUAAGAGAUCACAAUUAAUAAUAAACCCACAAUGCAAUGCAUAUGACAAAUUAAGUUUAGUUCCAUAGAUUAGUAAUGUGAGGGUCCGAGCCGCUCAUGACUGUGAGCACUACUGAUAUACCAGUUUUACACUCUGCAGAGGUUGCGCAUCUUUACCCACAAGUCGUGUUACCCGUUUGCCAAGGGAUCACGACUUCCCAUUCAUCACUACAGAGAAGACGAGGUAGGGUAGCACUACGAGGCAUUUACAAUGUUCCACUAGCUUUAGAAAACCUGCUACGGUUUCUGAGAAGGGCAAUAUAGGAAUCCCUCAUCCGAAAAGCCAUCGCAGCAUGAUCGACCCGAGAACCUCCCUAUACCGCAGCCCCUUUACCACCGUUGCCCCUUUCAGGUAAGGUACUCCUCCACUAGCUUUCCUAAUUAGUCAACCAAGUGCGUCCCAUACCACCCUUGUGGUAGCACUGUUUUUUCGGGUGGUCGCUCCAUGUUCCAAUUAACACAAUGAUCUUGUCAUGAACAAUAAUAAACCAGCAACAAUAGUGAAACAUAAUCAUAAUUCAAUAUAUCAUUAACCCCAAAGCCAGGUAGAGCAAUAGUGAUACUACCCAAUAGUUCAUUUAUUUGCAAGGUGUAGGAUAAACAAUACUAGGGAAACCUAUUAGGUCCCAUCAAAUUAACCUGAGCAUGUCACAGUGAUUAACAUGAACAUUAUUAGGUAAAGAAGAGUGAUCAAGGGCAUAACUUGCCUUAGAAUUGAGAUUCCAGGUAUUUCACCAAAUUGGUCGUCGCGUGACUCGUGACCUCACUGCUACUUGUAGCAAUACAUACAGUUAGACAAGGAGUACAUAAACAAAAUAGUACACCAAACAUGAGAACAAACGAUGUAAGAAUAUUCUACAUGCUGCUACGAGGUCGUAGGUUCGAGAACCACUAAAAUUGGAGCCCCGGUUGAAAGGAUACGGUUGUUUUCUAAAGUUUUAGGUGAUUAACUAUGAAAAACAUGCCUAUGUGUUGCUUAAUUUAAAUCAUGUGAUAAAAUAUAACUAAGUUUAUUCCACUUUUAAUCUAUGCCAAAUCAUAUUUUAGCCCAAUUAUAGAUGAUCCAAAUUAAAAUACUAUACCAACUUGGAUUAAACAAGUUAAUCCAAUAAGCAUAGGUUAAACGAAUUGGUUAUUUAUUUUUGAGCACAUGUUGCAUGCUAAAAUAAUGUUACAAAAGCGUAGGUAAUAUUAUUACGAAGCUACUGCAACUUGAAUGGACUAAAACAGAGUUUAAAUGAGAAACUUGUAGAUUAAACAAGUUGUGGGGCUACUUUUCUAAUAAAAUAAGGCUCCUCAGGACUAAAAUGUAACUUCUAGAGACCUUGAAGAAAUAACUGUGUGUUAUGGUUCGAUAGCGGGUUAAUUUGAAGAAACCCGAGGGUCUCAUCCAUAAAGUGACAAAGCCGAAGGGGUAUUGAUGUGUCUUGGCCGUUGGAUCCAAAAUCGAGGGCCCGUAUUAGAUUAAUCUUUAAGUGUACCGGUACAUGAUAUGGACCGACAGAUCUCAAUCUAAUGCUCCAAAUGGAAAAACCGUGAUCUUAUCUCGACCCUACAUCUGUCGAUCUACGAAUUUGAUUCAAUCACGAAAGGGUACAUGAAGUCCUUUAAUCUGGACCAUUCAAGGAUGAAUCAACGGCCACACUCAUGUCUUCUUCCUCCCGACCGCAUGACACGGCAGCGCCCAUAGCCCGUGCGGUGGCUUCCACCGGCGAACAGCGCGCCCGGUGCCCCGGAGCCCUAUUUUCCCCACCGGAAGCGAGCUACAUGUAAAGAAUACGGAGGUGGACACAGCUGUAGGUUCCUUACCUAGGUUUGGCAUGCAAGGGUACACAAUCGAUGGAGGGAAGCGACUGGGUGGCCGAUUUCCAAGUCUGGCGAGAAAUCGCCAUUCCAUUAGGGCCUCCAACGGACCAGCAACCCUACCAAUGUGAGCUCCGCAUAGGGGCAAACCAACGAGACCCGUCAGCGAAGGCUCGACAGUGGAGUCUACCCGAGUCCGUGGCACAACGCGGCUCAACGACGGGGACGGAGACCGGCGAGCGAUUGGUGCAGCUCCGGUCACCAACCUCUCAUGCCAUCACCCAAAUCAUGAUCUAUAACCCUAGGUGACCUUCUCUGCCCUUCUUCCAAGUCCUCGCCAUCGGUGCCUGACUGUUUUCAUGGUGGCGGCAAUCCUCUCCCUUCCUUCUAGAUUAGCUCACGAUCGAGCCCUCGGUGAUUUUCUAGUGAUAGGCAGAGGCGGCGGCCGUUUAUAAAGCCAGAGAUGGAGGUUGCGCGCGGAGCGGUUGACUGCCACCGGCGGGAAUCUAGGUUGCAUCCUGUUGCUACCGCACGUGGAGCUCAUACACGGAGCCACGGCGUGGAGGAGAUUGGUCUGAUUGUCGGCCCCACGAGUCAGCAAGAGGGAUUUAGCUCUACGCAGAGUGUCCACACACUAGUGGCUGCGCGCGCGGGCAGGCCUCUGGUCGAGCGAGCCCGCAUGUUGGCACCCGUUGCUUGAUCCCGACUAACGUCGUGAAGUGGGCCAGAUGUGAGGAAUUCACCCCACGAGCAGGUUUGUCUUUUUUCUUUUUAUAUUUUCUAUUUCCUGGUUUUAGUUUAAUUCUUAGAGUUCAAAUUCAGAUUUAAAUUCAAACAAGUUCCAAAUGCACUAUCAAAACUUCAAUAUGAAUGCAACAAUAUUUUAUUAAUCUAUUUAUUUCUUAUCCAAUUUAAGCAAAUGCUUCUAGCUAUAUAUGCAAUUCACGCAUAAAUAGUUUAUUUUGGAGAAAAUAAUAUUUAUAUUGUAUUGUUCCUAUAAAGAUAUGAUUUAACUUGAUCCCUUUUAAAAGGUUCUUAUAAAUCAAUAAAAAUAUAAUAUAUGUAUAUUUAAAAGAAAGAUUAACUAAAAUCAUGCAUACAUUAUUAAAAAUCCCUUUUUGCUUUAGGAGAUGUAGCUUCAAAAAUACUAUUACUGGACUCUUUGAUUGUCUUAUUCAUUGAUUUUUAAAAUCCCGAAUUAGAAUUUCAGGUGUUACAAAUUCUACCCCCUUAAAAAUAAUCUCGUCCUCGAGAUUAGUAAGAAAAGGGAUGUAGAUACUUUGGUUUGUAGUUUAGCUUUUAGCUUUUAUUUGGUUUCAAUACCAAAAGAUUUUUUCGGUUCAAGUCUUUAACACAAAUUAGCAUGUGAUUAGGAAAGCAGGGGUAUCUAGCCACCUAAUAUGUAGGAUAAAAGUUGUCUUUAAAGCAUAGAUAGGUUUGGGUAAGAAAGAGUAGGGCAAGGAAAGACUCCAUCCUAGAUUGCGGAUCUUGCUUCCUUUGGGGCUCUGGCUUGACUCCUAUUCUUCCUUAACGAGGUUGAUCUCCUUCUUCUUGAGUCUUGGUGUCUUCAUCCGGGUUAGGGACAAGAGGUUAAGAUAGAUUUGUAUGUAACAACUUAGUAGGUAGAGCAGCUGGUUUAGUAGGUAGCUAUAAGUUAAAUGAGAUUAGCCAUAAUCUAGUUUGGUUGUUUGCUUUUAGAUUUCUUGGAUAAGUUAUGUAACCUGUUAUGUAGGUCAAGUUUUUGUUCAUGUCCGAGUUGGUUUAAGGCACCAAUUUAGGUUAAAACAUGUUUGUAGGAGUAGGGUCUACUCUAUUUCACUAGUAUUAACUAUCCUGUUUAUGUAACUCACUCUAGAUUAGAUCAUAUCUGAUUAGAUGGGAUCUAGAUUAGGUUGGUAUGACUAGUUUAUACUAGAUGAGAUCUAAUUAAUUUAGAUUAGGUCAUGGUUGUUAAUCUCGGAUGAGAUAAGCAAAGUGGUUAGGAUAACAUUGAAGGAUAGAUAGAAUCUUUUUUAUUGUAAGAUAGGGUCUAUAAGAUAGAUCUAUUUGUUUUUUAUAUGGGGGAUAAUCUAUGUUUCAAAAUAUAUUUUUAUGACUAUAUGUAUUUAUAUGCAACGUGGAUAUUACUCCACAACCCAUCACACGGAAUAAAAGAACCAAAUCAGACAAGUAUCAUAAGAACAAACAUUCAAGCGUAUAUAUACCCAUAAAAAUAGUUUUUUCCUAUGAUUAGGUGUCCUAUUCCAAAGGGUCACUUUAGGUAUAAGAUUUCAAAGUUUGAAAUCCAUUUUUGUCUUUAGAUGAGAAAAGGUAAGAGCACUCAGAGUAAAGUAGCAAUAAAUGAGAAAAUAUUAAAGAAAGUUUAGAAAGAAUCGAAGUAGCAAAGGUAAGUAGGUAAGGGUUUUAUCUAGUUCUAUCUAGGUUACGUCCUACAGUCAACAUUCCUCUGAUACCACUUCUGCCACAAUCGGAUUUAAGGGCAAACUCGAGCAUGAAUCAAAUGUGUGCUAGGAUCAAGUCUCACACAUAUGAUGACUCAUGGUACAGAAACGAAUGUCACAUCUUUACUAUAUAAUAGGAGUUCUGUACAAAAUAAAUAAAGAAUUACAUCAUAUGAAGACAAUGAUCCAGCAACCAUAGUUGACAGGAAGACGACGACCAAGACCUCUUACCUUGUGGUACCUGUUCUUGACCUAGGGGAUGUGAGUACAGCAAGGGUGAGCUCACAUACAUUCAUCGCUCAAAAAGUUGUGGGGAAUAAUGUGCAUGAGCUCACUUACAGUGGGAGCUCAGGUGAAGUGUAAGGCUUACCAAAGAAAAUGGUUAAAGCUGAGCGUUGCUUUUAGAGUUGGUCAGAAUUGUAUUAGCUAUUACUAAGUGUAAGUAGAUACCAACCCAAUUAAAUAAGAGAUCGCAAUUAAUAAUAAAACCCACAAUGCAAUGCAUAUGACAAAUUAAGUUUAGUUCCAUAGAUUACUCAUGUGAGGGUCCAAGCCGUUCAUGACCAUGAGCACAGCUGAUAUACUAGUUUUACAUUCUGUAGAGGUUGCACAUCUUUACCCACAAGUCGAGUUACCCAUUUGCCAAGGGAUCCUGAGUUCCCAUUCAUCUCUACCGAGGAGACGAGGCAGGUUAGCACUACGAGGCAUUUACAAAGUUCUACUGGCUUCAGAAAAACCGCUACCGUUUCUGAGAAGGGCAAUAUAGGAAUCCCUCAUCCAAAAAGCCAUCGUAGCAUCAUCGACCUGAGAACCUCCCUAUACCGCAGCUCCUCUACAGCCCUUGCCCCCUUUUGGGUAAGGUAGUCCUCCACUAGCUUUCCUAGUUAGUCAGCCAAUGGUGUCCCAUACCACCUUAUGGUAGCACUGUUUUCCCGGGUGGUCGCUCCAUGUUCCAAUUAACACAAUGAUCUUGUCAUGAACAAUAAUAAACCAGCAACAAUAGUGAAACUUAAUCAUAGAUCAAUAUGUAAUUAAUCCCAAAGCCAGGUAGAGCAAUUGCAAUACUACCCAAUAGUUCAUUUGUUUGCAAGGUGUAGGACAAACAAUACUAGGGAAACCUAUUAGGUCCCAUCAAAUUAACCUGAGCAUGUCACAAUGAUUAACAGGAACAUUAUUAGGUAAAGAAGAGUUGUCAAGGGCACAACUUGCCUUAGACUUGAGAUUCCAGGUACUUCACCAAAUUGGUCUUCGGGUGACUCGUGACCUCACUGCUACUGGUAGCAAUACAUACAGAUAGACAAGGAGUACAUAAACAAAAUAGUACACUAAACAUGAGAACAAACAAUGUAAGAAUAUUCUAUGUGCUACUACGAGGUCGUAGGUUCGAGAACCACUAAAAUUGGAACCCCUGUUGAAAGGAUAUGAUUUUUUCUGAAGUUUUAGGUGAUUAACUAUGAAAACCAUGCCUCUCUGUUGCUUAAUAUAAAUCAUGUGAUAAAAUAUAACUAAGUUUAUUCCACUUUUAAUCUAGGACAAAUAAUAUUUUAGCCCAAUUAUAGAUGAUCCAAAUUAAAAUACUAUACCAACUUGUAUUAAACAAGUUAAUCCAAUAAGCAUAGUUUAACGAAUUGGUUAUUUAUUUUUGAGCACAUGGUGCAUUCUAAAAUAAUGUUACAAAAGCAUAGGUUAUAUUAUUAUGAAGCUAGUGCAACUUGAAUGUACUAAAACGAAGUUUAAAUGAUAAAGUUAGAGAUUAAACAAGUUGUGGGGCUACUUUUAUACUAAAAUAGCGGGUUAAUUUCAAGAAACCCGAGGGUCUCAUCCAUAAAGUGACAAAGUCGAAGGGGUAUUGGUGUGUCCUGGCCGUUGAAUCCAAAAUUGAGGGCUCAGAUUAGAUUUAUCUUUAAGUGAACAGGUACAUGAUAUGGACCGUCACAUCUCAAUCUAAUGCUCCAAAUAUAAAACACCGUGACCUUCUCUCGACCCUACAUCUACCGAUCUAUGGUUGUGAUUCAAUCACGACAGGGUACAUGACGUCCUUUAAUCUAGACCGUUCAACAAUGGAUCAAUGGCCACACCCGUGUCGACGGAGGGAAUUAGCGGCUGGGUGGCCGAUUUCCAAAUCCGACGAGAAAUCGCAAUUCCAUCAGGGCCUCCCGCGGACCAGCAACCCUCCCAACGUGAGCUCUAGAUAGGGGCGAACCUCCGAGACCCGUCAGUGAAGGCCCGGCGGUGGUGUCUGCCCAAGUCAGCGGCACAACGCGGCUCCGCGGCAGGGACAGAGCCUAGCGAGCGAUUGGUGCAGCUCCGAGCACCAACCUCUCAUGCCAUCACCCCAAUCGCAAUCCAGAAUCUCAGGCGACAUUUUAUGCCCUUCUUCCAAGACCUCGCCAUCGGUGCCUGACUGAUUUCACAUGGAGGAAAUCCUCUCCCUUUCUUCUCGAUUCACUCACGAUGAAGCCCUUGGUGAUUUUCUGGUGAUGGGCAGAGGCGGUGACCGUAUAUAAAGCUAGAGAUGGAGGUUGCGCGGGGAGCGGUUGACUGCCCCCGGCGAGAAUCUCAGCCAAAUUCUAUUGCCAUCGUGCGCGAAGCUCGUACACGGAGUCAUGACGCGGAGGAGAUUGGUAUGAGUGUCGGCCCCACGAGUCAGCGAGAGGGAUUCAGCUCUACGCAAAAGGUCCACACACCAGUGGUUGCGCGCGCGGUCAGGUCGCUGACCGAGAGGGCCCGCGUGUCGGCACCCGUUGUUUGAUGCCGGCUGACAUCGUGAAGUGGGCCGGUGGGAGAGGUUUUAGACUGGGCCAGAUGUGAGGAAUUCAGCCCAUGAGCAGGUUUGUCUUUUUUUCUUUUUAUAUUUUCUAUUUCCUGGUUUUAGUUUAAUUCUAAGAGUUCAAAUUCAGAUUUAAAUUCAAACAAGUUCCAAAUGCACAAUCAAAACUCCAAUAUGAAUGCAUAAAUAUUUUAUUAAUCUAUUUAUUUAUUAUCCUAUUAAAGCAAAUGCUUCUAGCUAUGCAAUUCACGCAUAAAUAGUUUAUUUUGAAGAAAUAAUAUUUCUAUUGUAUUGUUCCUAUAAAGAUAUGAUUUAACUUAAUCCCUUUUAAAAGGUUCUUAUAAAUCAAUAAAUAUAUAAUAUAUGUAUAUUUAAAAGAAAGAUUAACUAAAAUCAUGCAUGCAUACUUUUGUGGGUCUUUAUUAAAAAUCCCUUUUUGCUUUGGGAGAUAUAGCUUCAAAAAUAUUAUUAAUAGACUCUUUGAUUGUAUUAUUCAUUGAUUUUUUUAAAUCCUGAAAUAUAAUUUCAGGCGUUACACUUGUCAAACUUCUAAUACAUUUGAUGUACUAAUCUAUGACAUGUGCCUUUUUGUGUGAGACCAAUUUUUGUGUGGAUAGGGAUGUCGAUUAUAUGUGGUUUGAUAUAUUUUGUGACAUGGAUUCAAUAUAUAUAUGUGAUUGUCGUCUAUCGUGUCGUUGAUAUAUAUGUGCAUGUCAGGCAUCAUGCUGUUAGUUUUAUUUGAAGGUUUUGGAAACCUCACCGUGCAGGGGAGGUGCCUGCGAAUUUUUGUGUUGACAGUCUUGUGUUUCUUUUUUUUGCAGAGGUCUUCCUAGUUGUUGUGGGUUUGCCUGCACUAUGUCUCGUCGUCACCGCACCAACCCGCCAUAACCCCACUAGCCUGACUCCACCGCCACCCUAGGUAUAACCUCUAUUUUUGUAUCAUGAUCGUAGAUCACGUAACUGAGAGAACCUAGUGGGGGGAUGAAUAGGUGAUCCAACGAAAUGACUUAAAACAACACAAACUUUGUUAAAAUAAACUUAGAGUAAACCAAAACCAAGUUUGAGAGAAGAGAUGAGAGAAAAGUCCUCUUCGCUUGAUUGCUCUUCCAAGAUAUGAAUUAUACUAAGAGAAAUAUCACAAGUGAAAUAGUGAACUUGGGAAGAAAGAAAAUCGCAAUAAAGGAAAAGAACAAGAGAGACUGCGAUUUUUAUCUCGUGGUUCGGCCAAGCCUACAUCCACAUUGGGAUGUCCUUCUUUGGACAAUGGUUGCAUUCAACCCCUCUUAAGUGAUCAUGUAGAUCAAACUUGAGUGUCACGGUUCUUCCUUCACAAGUAUUCCCGUUCACCAAUAAUCACCAUAACUUGGAGUCUCUUGUAGCCAUACAAAAGAUAGAAGUUACAACUUAGAUUAAGGUAGGGAGAGAAAGUACAUACACAAGAGCAAAUCAGAGCAACACACACAGGAGAGAAGAUCAUGAGUACACACAUUCACCAAGACUAGAGAACAGUUCAAAAAUGUCACUCGGAUCUCACUAAAUCACUAGAACGCUUUGUUGUAGAGAGUCGGAGUGUUGGUGUGCUCUUGGAGUACUUGGGUAUAGAAUGGAGGCGCCUAGAGGCUCUAUUUAUAGCCCUAAGAGGCCUAGAGGCCUUUGCCUCCUUCCUUAAAAAAUUGUAGAUCUGGGCAGUUGUAAAGCCUAAAAUUGGUAGAAAAAAAUAUAUAAUAAAAUAAUAAAAUAAAAAUAUAUAUGAUAGUGUUUCUAGAAUUUUUUUAAAAACCUUUGGAAUUAGUAGGACAUUCCCUCUUCAUAAUCAAUUAAAGAUAUUAAAAUAGUCAUAUGAAAGAGUGGGCAUCUCAUACUUCUGAAUUUGUGGCGAUGCAUUUAUUUUGAAUAAAGAAAUCAUAACUUAAAUUGACCUCAAAUUAUAAAGGAAAAGAUAAAAACAGAAAAUGAGAAAGGAAAUUUUAAUGAAGUCGUUAGUCCUUUCAUAAAUAAAUAAUAGGGAAAAGAAUAAAUAAUAAUAUUAUAAAUAGUAGAAUCUAUAUUCACAUUAGGUUUAUAUUUGAGAAUGGGAAUUUGAAAUUCAAAACAGAAAAUUGAAACAGGUUUGAAUUUGGAAUAGGAAUUUGAAAAUUUGAAAGAAAUAAAAAAGGAAAAGAAAAAGAAGAAAAACCUCUGUUGGGCUAGUUUUCCUCUCUCCGGCCCAAUACCAUCUCUACUUCCGCACAGCCCAACUAUGGGUUUUGGCACUAACGUGCGGGCCCCGCGUCACAGCCCACACCUCAUGUCCGUGUCCUGGCCGUGUUGCGCUGACAUGUGGGCCGCGGUCGUCAGCACGCGCUUGUCACUUUCAUGUGGGCGCCGCCGCACAGGUGGCCGCUCUCGUUUGUGGUCUAGUCACUAGCGUGUGGCCCCACCUCACGGCCGCUCCCGCAUUUGCACUAACAGCAUGGGCCCGCGGAUCUGCGGCUCGCUAUCACCGCGUGCACCCUCGCAUCCCUCUGUCGCGUGGGCCCAUUGCUCUGUUGCUCUUCUCUGUGGGAUGCGAAGCUGCUCCACACUGAAUGUCACAGAAUUGGCUCGGUGACCGAAGGCUGCCUGGGCCACGUACCCGUCCGCCUAUAAAACCCACCGGUCAUCCGGGGACCCUCCUCAUUGACCCAGACGCCGUCAGGUGUAGAAAUUCGCACCACCAGGUGAAGAAGUGGACCGCCGAGCGCUGCCGCAGUAGUGCUUCGCCUGCAAUGCCGUUCUAGUUAGGGUGGGCAUCAUUGGUGCUUCGUUGUUGCGGGUGUCGGAUAGGUGGGGCAUCUACAAGCGAAGGUUUUGCCGGUUUUGGCCGGAAUUUCUCGUCAGCGUACCAAAUCCGCGGCCUACCGCUCCCCAUCGUGGCCGGUGUUCUCGGCCACUCGGGACGCCUGGUAAGGCCCUCGAUUGAAUUCGCCGCUUGGAUCGUGCGUGCAAGAACGGAUCGGGAUCAUUUUAAAUUUGGAUCAUGGAUGGUCAAUCCAACGGAACCCUGUGCGUACCGGUUCGGGGGGGAAAGAUUUAAUAUGAGCCCUUGGAUCUUGAUCGGGUGGCUCAUAUAAACUCAUACCCCUUCACCAUACUCUUUUUGCUAAUAAGUCCCCGAGGAAUCCUGAAACUAACCCUCCGUCCUCGUCUAGUAAAAGAUUGUCACCAACUGGUCCUGAACUUUAUAAGGAGAACCUGAGCUCUUGGGUUUUUGUUUUCUCGGUCCGAACUCUAUUAGAUUUCAUUAAUAAAUCCUAGAAAUUGAUUUUUAAGUAUAAAAUCGAUCAAGAAAAAUUAGAAAUUCCACAGUUAAUUCAUUUCUACUCCAAUUUGAUCCGUCCCAAUUGUGUUAGCCUCGUAAUAAAAUUUCCUACGCAGUAGCAACACUAUUUGUACUGUAUCACAUACUUUUAUAAUUAAAUAUUUGUUUACCCUUUUAGUAGUAGAUUUAUUUUACUAAUUAGGUUUGACAUGCCUAUAAUUAUAUUUUGAUUAUAAUAUGAUUUAUAAAACAAGUUAUAAUCUGGAUUAAAGUUAAAUUAAUUAUUCAAAGUAUAUUUUCUUAUAUGAUGUAUAUUAACCAAUUUAUAGUAUAGUUUAAUAUUUAAUCACGCAAAUCUUCAGAAGAUCAUAACUCUUUAACCGUAAUUCUGAUUCUAGUAAUUCUCGAACCCACGAUAUCGUAGCGACGCGUAGAUUAUUAUUACGCAGUUUGUUCUUAUGUUUGGUGUGAUGUUAAUUUUGCAUAUACCAUGUUUGUUUGUAUUGCUACGAAUAGCAGUGAGGUCACGAGCAUCUGAAGAUCAUCUUGGUACCUGGAAUCUCGAGUCUCAGGCAAGUUGUGCCCUUGAUCACUCCUUCUUACCUAAUAAUGUUCAUAUUUAAUCACUGUGACAUGCUCAGGUUAAUUUGAUGGGACCCAAUAGGUUUCCCUAGCAUUGUUUAUCCCUUACCUUGCAAGCACAUGAAUAAUUGGGUAGUUUUGCUAUUGCUCUACUUGGAUUUGGGAAACUAAUGUUUCACUAUGAUCAUGUUCCAAUUAUGUUGUUGUUUAAUUAUUGUUCAUGAUAAGAUCAUUAUGUUAAUUGGAACAUGGAGCGACCACUCGGGAAAUCAGUGCUACCACAAGGGUGGUAUGGGACGCCCUUGGCUGACUAAUUAGAAAAGCUAGUGGAGGACUACCUUACCCGAAAGGGGCAAGGGCAGUAGGGGAGUGGUCAGUGUAGGGAGGUCCUUAGGUUGAUUUUGCUGCGAUGGCGGUUAGGUGAGGGAUCCUUGCAUUGGAGCUUCCUAGAAAUGUAGCAGGUUUUCUGAAGCUAGUGGAACUUUGUAAAGGCCUCGUAGUGUUACCCUACCUCGCUUCCUUGGUAGAGGUGUAUGUGAUUCAUGACCCCUUAGCAGAUGGGUAACAUGACUUCUGGGAAACGAUGAGCAACCUCUAUAGAGUGUAAAACUGAUAUAUCAGUCGUGCUCACAGUCAUGAGCAGCUCGGACCGUCACAUGAUUAACUUAUGGAAUUAAAUUCAAUUUGUCAUAUGCAUUGCAUCACUGGUGUUGUUAUCAAUUUUGAUUUAUUACUUAUUUGGGUUGGUAUCUACUUACACUUAGUAACUGCUAAUAAAAUUUUGACCAGCUUUAAAAGCAAUGCUUAGCUUCAACCAUCGUCUUUGGUAGGCCUUACACUUCACGUGAGCUCACACCUUUGGCGAGUUCAUGCACAUUAUUCCCGACAACUUGCUGAGCGAUGAACGUAUGUGAGUUCACCCUUGCUGUCUCACACCCCCCCACAGGUCAAGAACAGGUACCGCAGGAUGAGGCGCAUGGAGGAUGCUGUGAUGAGUUCGUGAGUGGUCUAGGUUGUCGUCUCCCAGUCAACUUUGGGUUGCUGGAUCAUUGUCUUCAUAUGAUGUAAUUGUUUAUUUAUUUUAUACAGAACUCCUAUUAUAUAGUAAAGAUGUGGCAUUCGUUUCUGUACCAUGAGUAAUCAUAUGUGUGAGACUUGGUCCCAUCACACUUGGUGAUUAUUUUGCACUCGGGUCUUGGUGCCCCUGAAAUCCGAGUGUGACAGUAGUCUGUGGGUGCACUAGACCGGGUCUGUGGGCCCCCAGUUCGAGAUCUGAUUAGCGCCCUUCCUAAGCUGGAUGGCACCAGACCGGUCCAGCGCACCACUGGACCGUUCGGUGACGUCAGCUAGCUGUUGGUCGCCUGAGGUAGCCAUUGGAGACGUGGUUCGGUGCACAUCGAAUCGGUCUGGUCAAUUUUAGAAUUAAAAUUCCCGACCGAGAGCAGUAUGGUUGGGUCGCACAGGCCUGGUUUGGUGCAACCCAGACCGGUGCAAGUUGGGCUCUUUUGAGCAAAACUCCUCCAAAUCUUUUUGGUUGUCUUGGGGGUUUCCUACGACUUAGAUAAGCAUUAUUAGUACUUAAUCCAAUGGACUAAGUGAGGGAAACAUACCUUUCUCACAUAGUUUCUCCAAGAUUUGCAAUAUGGCUCAAUUCAAGUCCAAAAGGCAUUUUUCUUGCAGAAAUGGGUUAGUAGCCAAACCAGAGUGUUAGAAACAUAGAAUAGGGUAGGUGCAACUUAUUCAAAUACAUAAACAUCAUGUUUAUGUUGUUUUACCCAACUUUGCAGUUUUGGCCUCCAGAUAUGUUCAUUUGGACUUAGUGCCUUCAAUUUUCAUUUACUUUAACCUGUGCUCAUUCCCAAAUCAAAUUAGUUAGUCAAAUGUGAUGUGUUGGAUGCUUAAUCACCAAAACAGGUAGAAAUGCCCCUAUGGCACAUUUCCCUUUCAAUCUCCCCCUUUUUGGUGAUUUAUGCCAACACACCUAAAGCAACUCAAAUCUGACUAACUUAACCAAAAAUGAGACAAAGUUGGAAAAUUGAAGAUCAAACUCAAACUAAAGGACGAUUCGAAUGAUUUGGCAUAUUUGGAUCCUUUAGCCACCACUUGUUUCGAAUUUUGCAAUGAAAGCAAUUUUUUCUAACUUCUAUGUCAACAACUCUUUGUUUUGCAAAACAAAUCAUUUUAAAACUCUUGUUUUGAUCAAAUACCCCAAACUUCCCCUUUUUCUCGUAAGAUAACUUCUCCCACAUAAGAGAACAAUUUUUUGCAAUAAGAGGGCACCUCUUUGAUAUCAAGAGGGUUUUGAUCAAAAAGACAAGUUUAAAAGCUCAAAAAAAUUUAAUAUUCUAAGUGGUGCUUGAUCAAGUUCUUUUGGCCUUUAAUUUUUCCCCAUUUGGCAAUAAGCACCAAAGCGGAGAAACUAGUGGCCUAACCUGAUUCCCUCACCAAAAAUAGCAAAUGAAGAGCAAAGGCAAUGAAAUUCCAAGGCAAUCUGGAAUAAAGUACAUUGAUAUUGUUUAUGCAGUGGAAGUUUCUUUCUUUGUCCAAAUCCACCUUUUCCCUUGCAAUCCUCCUUUGAGACUACAUCAACUCAACUUAAACAAAAGUAGUCUCAAAGGGUCAACUUGUAGCAUGUCCUCCCCCUCAACAUAUGCAUCAAUGCACAAGGACUUCUAAAGUCCGAGGAUGACAUUCUACUACCUGAGCACCAAUAUAAGCAUAGGCAAAUAAUAUGUGAAUUGACUCUAACCUAGCUACAGUAACAAAAGUCUCCUCAAAGUUCAAACAUGCGACUUGGGUAUAACCUUUUGCCACAAGUCAAGCCUUAUUCCUUAUCACUAGCCCAUAUUCAUCUUGUUUGUUGCGAAACACACAGUUGGUUCCCACAACAUUUUGCUUUAGAUGUGGCACCAAGCUCCAGACUUCAUUUCUCAUUAAGUUGUUGAGGUCUUCCUGCAUGGCCAUCACCUAGUCUGGAUCAUUCAAAACUUCUUCUAUCUUGAGAGGUUCAAUAGAGGAAACAAACAAGUAAUGCUCACAAAAAUUAGCGACACGAGAUCGAGUGGUUACUUCUUUGUUCAUAUCCCCUAGAAUCCAAUCCACCGGAUGAUCGUGUUGUAUGGUGGAGCAGACUUGAGGCGGAGGUGCAUGUGGAACAUGUCUUAGUGAAAAGAGUGGGAUCAGCUCUCUAGACCUUGAAAUCAUUUGAAAUGAGAAAAUCUCUAAGGAAUUCAUACCAUGCUCAUGGGGCUUGCUUAAGCCCAUAGAACACCUUAGAGAGUUUGUACACAUGGUUGAGAUACCUGUCAUCCUCAAAGCCAGGCGGUUGCUCUACAUAGACUUCCUCGCUUGAUCGGUCAAUUGAGGAAGGCACUCUUCACAUCCAUUCGAAAAAGCUUAAAGGAAUGGUGAGCAUCAUAGGCCAAUAAUAUGCAAAUUGACUCUAAUCUAGCUACAGGAGCAAAAGUCUCCUCAAAGUCCAAACCUGCGACUUGGGUAUAACCUUUUUCCACAAUUCAAGCCUUGUUCCUUGUCAGCAUCACGUAUUCAUCUUGUUUGUUGCGAAACACUCACUUGGUUCCCACAAUGUUUUGCUUUAGACGUGGCACCAAGCAAACUCUAGACUUCAUUUCACUUCAAGUUGUUGAACUCUUCCUACAUGGCCAUCACCCAUCUAGAUCCUUCAAAACUUCUUCUACCCUGAGAGGUUCAAUAGAGGAAACAAACAAGUAAUGCUCACAAAAAUUAGCAACACGAGAUAGAAUGGUUACUCCCUUCUUUAUAUCCCCUAGAAUCUCAUCCACCGGAUGAUCACGUUGUAUGGUGGCACGGACUUGGGGUGGAGGUGCCUAUGGAACAUGACUUAGUGAAAAGAGUGGGAUCAGCUUUCGUGACCUUGAAAUCAUUUGAAAUGAGAAAACCUCUAACGCAUUCAUACCAUGCUCGUGGGGCUUGCUUAAGCCCAUAGUGCGCCUUAGAGAGUUUGUACACUUGGUCAGGAUACAUGUCAUCCUCGAAGCCAGGCUAUUGCUUCACGUAGACUUCCUCCCUUGGUCGGUUGAUUGAGGAAGGUGCUCUUCACGUCCAUUUGAAAAAGCUUAAAGGAAUCGUUAGUAGCAUAACCCAAUAAUAUGUGAAUUGACUCUAACCUAGCUACAGGAGCAAACGUCUCCUCAAAUUCCAAACCUACAACUUGGGUAUAACCUUUUUCUACAACUCAAGCCUUGUUCAUUAUCACCACCCCAUAUUCAUCUUAUUUGUUGCGGAACACCCACUUGGUUCCCACAACGUUUUGCUUUGGACGUGGCACCAAGCUCUAGACUUCAUUUCUAUUUAAGAUGUUGAGCCCUUCCUGCAUGGCCAUCACUCUGUCUCGAUCCUUCAAAACUUCUACCCUGAGAGGUUCAUUAGAGGAAACAAACAAGUAAUGCUCACAAAAAUUAGUGACAUGAGAUCGAGUGGUUACUACCUUGUUUAUAUCCCCUAAAAUAUAAUCCACCUGAUGGUCUCGUUGUAUGGUGGCACGGACUUAGGGUGGAGGUGCCUAUGGAACAUCUUCUUCCUCCUUGUCUUUUCUUCAAGCACCCCCUUGAUCAAUGCCUUCAUCUUGAGAUACCUGUUCCUCACCUUGAAUAAGGGGUUGCACCAUUGUUGAGGAAGAUAGUUGAUCUUGUUCUUAUGGUUCCUAUGGUCGCACAUCUUCAAUCGCCAUAGUUCUUAGCGCGGCCGUCGGAACCACAUUCUCAUCUACAUCAUCAAUAUCAACUUGCUCUCCUAGAGAGCCAUUAGUCGCAAAAAAAGUCGUGCAAAAUUCGCAGCUACGUCGCUGGUGGGAAUCAAUCUCCUGGCCUCAAACUCGCGCGUAGACCCCUCUAACACUCCACCUAUUACUUACUACAUGUCUAUUGCAGUUUUGUUGUCCACAUAUUAGAACAAUUCGAGUAAAAAUUGACUAUUUCAGUUUUUAAACAAAUUCAAACGAAAAAGUUAUCAACUACAAAGUUUCAUCACUUUUGAAGUUCUACAACUUCUAUUUUUGAACUUUUUCCAUACGAGGUCAUUUGCAAUAUUUGCAUCUUAAAUUUGACAAAUUUGGAUGCAAUUUUUGAGAGCCAAAAUAAUUUCAACUUUAAAAGUUAUCAAAUACAAGGUUUCAUAGCUUUUAGAGAUAUACAACUUUUAUGUUGGUUGUUUUUUCAUACUUGAGGUCAUUUGAAAAACUAAAAAAAUAGGAUAAAUUAUUUUUAUUGGAGGUUUUCUUAAGAAAACCGGCUGUAGAAACCAUGGGUUUCUAGUGGUAGUUUUCUUAAGAAACCACCACUAAAAAUACUAAUAGCGCUUGAUAACCAAAACCGUCUGUAAAAUUAAACCCCAGCGCAGGCUUAGAGUUCUUUUCUAUUAGUGUUAGGUAAUUGGUGGAUUCAUACAAUACGUGUUGUAUGUGGUUGUUUUAUAUAUGUGUCUAGAUUUAUCAUCAUCUAUUUGAAUAUAGACAUAAAAGCCAAGAGCCAAAACAAAUACUAUUUAGGAUAGAUGGAGUAAUAUCUAGAUGUAGUACAACACGUCUAUUAAAGAGAAAAUUUUCUUUAUUUUAGCUGAAGGAAACAUAGCACAAUGCAACAUAUGGCAAGAUAUGUAUUUUACUACAAUGCCCGAGAACAACAACUAUAGGAUGGUUGUUGACAUUUUUCUUUGAGUAAUACAUAUAUAUCACCAUAUCCCUUGAUAUUACUUAAGGUGUACAAUAUAUAUAGCUCAUGUAGUUAUUUUGGCCUCCUUGAAGUAGUGCUUCAUGUUGAUAUUCUCUUGAUCC